AAAAAAAUAUUGAUACGACGAACUGAGAAUUGAAUCUCUUAUAAAAUAGGUGUAUUUGAUAACCCAUUUUGGGUGGGAUUAGCUAACUCCACUUAACCCCAUCAAAUUCCAACGAAAUACUAUUUUUUAUCAUAAUAAUCCACUAUCCUUCUUAUCCCACCUACUCCAACCAAACACUAUUUUUUACUAUUCUGAACUAACUCCAACCCCCAACCAAAUACAAAAAUACUUUAACCUCAUCUUAACUCUGAACGUAAUCCUAUUCCUGAAAUAACUAGUUUUUUCUUAACCCCGAACCAAAUGGUAACGUCUGUGGAGAGGUCAUAUCAUUGCUCUUAUCAUUUUCCCUUCUAUAAUUAGUUAACACCCUCCUCUCCAGUAUCCAAAUCCUCUCUCUCUCUCUCUCUCUCUCUCUCUCUCUCUAGUUAUUACUACCUCCAUCAUAUGGCCUCUUCCUCGAUGAUCAAGCUCUCUUACCAAAAGCUCCACAAACUCCCCACAACCUCAGAUGAUCAUGAGCCCUCUACACUAACAAAGAGAAGCAGCAGCAGCAGCAGCAGAAGAAGAAGAAGCAAUUGGCUAAGGUUAGACAACGGCGUCGGCAGGAGAAGGCGAUGGCACCGCCCGAGAGUGACGGUCGCAGGCCUGCGCAGGCUUAUAAGGAGAAAGGCGAUGGCGGUGCGCAGCGCGGUGGCGAAGGUGGCGAGGAGGUUGAAAGAAGGGCGGCCCUACGCCGCGGAGCUCUUCGCCGGAAACUACAUGUUCAUGCAAGUAGGCCCCUCACCGACGGCGACGACGACGACGACGACGGCGGCGAUGGCGACGGCGAUGAUGAUGGGCUUCUCGCAAAAGCAGUUUUCGACGAGCCACCAUGCCCAGCAACAGCACCGUGGCUCCUUCCCACAGCACUAUUCUGCAAGGUUUAGCUACUGAGGUUCCAGCUGAUAUACCAAGGAGACUAGCUGAUUAUAAGUUUAAUUAAAUAACUCUUUUCGAAUUUUGUUGAUAAGAAAAAGAGGGAGAAUAUGAUAGAGUUGUAAGGAGUUGAGCUCGGUGUAAGAGCAUUUGUGCUCGUGACAUUUUAAUAAUUGAAUUAUCUUAAGAUUUAUGCAAUAUUAUUAGUGAUAUAUAUGUCCCGUUAAAUUUUUUUGAUUAGUGUUGUAUGAAUUUUGAGACGAUCCAAUGACUAAAAAGUCACUAACAUUUAAAAGCACAGGAGUUCAAUUUGAAUUAUAAGAUUACAAUUAAAAAGCAAUUGUAGAGUACAUAAUAGGUACACAUAGGAUGUAUAUACGAUAACAUUCUUGUAUUGUUGUUAAUAUUAUUUUAUAUCAUUGUUAUUACUAGUGGGGGACCACACUUCGCAGUAGAGAGGUAAAAUAUCACAAAAUAGUUAUAUUAUUUUAUAGUUUAGAAAUUUAAACAUAAUACUAAUUAUGCCUAGUUGUAUAAAUGAAUUUGCCAUAUUGCUUAUAUACCUUUGAAAAAUUUUUGAAUUUCUGAUUAUCUUUCUUUGAAGGCUAAUAUUAAAAAUAUCUUUUCUACGUUCCAAUUUAUUUCAAAUAUCCCUCUAGAGUUUAGUUAAAUUAUGUUAAUAAACAGUUAGCAAUAGCUGUUGUCUUUAUAAAAUUACUAUUUUGCCCUUUUAAAUAUACCCUCUUACCAUCAUCGAUUUUUUUUAUUUGUUCUUAAGUUAGGGAUACAAAAAAUAUUUUAAUUUUAGAUCUUUUCAAAUGUACCCUUCUAUCAUCAUCAAUAUUUCUUACUUGUUCUUAAGUUAAAAGCAAAAGAAGCAUUUUGAUUUUUUUUUAAACUUUGGUAGAUAUUUAACUCACGUUUAACCUAAGUUAACUUAACGGGUGAUAACUAUAUGGGUAUUUUAGAAUAACGGAGGAACAUAGAAGGAUUUAUUGGAAAAAAAAAAUAAAUGAGAUAAUUUUGAAGUUUUGAGGGGUAUACAGGUAAUUAUCCCUAUUUAUAUGUUAUGUAUUAGUUAAAUGCCUAAUCAGUUUGAAACCAAUACCUAAAAGCUUGAUGCCACUAAUUUAGCAUUAGAGGUUUUAGAAAAGUACAACUCAAUCAAGCAGCGCCUGAAAAUUUCGUUGAGUUCAACAAAUUUUACAAUCAACAUGAAAAAUUUUUAAAUGAUCAUAACUUUUCUAUCCUGUGUCCGAUUUCAGCGUGUAAUUCCAAUUUAGCAAAUACGUUUUGAGAUUUACAGGACUGCACGUUCAGAGAUAAAAAUUGUACCAUUUAAAAUUAUUUGAUAUUAAAUUGUACCAUAUAAAUAGAAAUUGCAUUAUUUGAAACAAAUGUUGUACUAUUUAAAACUAUUUGAGCAUUCAUCUCAAAGAGUAUAACUUCUGUUUUAUAUGAUGUAACAUAGUCUCAUAUAAUUUUAAAUAGUAUAACUUUCGACUCAAAAAGUGCAACUUUCGCCUCAAACAAAAUAAUUUCAUCUAAAAUAAUGCAAUUUUUUCUUAUUCUUCUUUCGUCUCUACUUUUUCAUUUUCUUGUAACGGCCAUGACACAAUCUUUCCCAAAAAAGUUUUUUUUUAUUUUUUUAUUUUUAUUCUUUAUUCUUUUUUUCCACCUACUGUAUUUUUUUUUCUAUUAUCGCACCCUCUCCCUUGCCCUCUGCUGCAAUCAUCACCUCACUCGAUGCCCUCUCCAUUUCAUGGUCCUUAAAUCUUGUAGCACCCUUGUCAUUGUCCACGGUCAUACGCUCCGUCGCAUCCUCACCUUCGUAAUUUAUGCCAUAUACGAGCCAACAUAGGCAGAAGGUGUAGGCGAGGUAAAACAGCGGAACACGACAUCAAUGUAGGGGUGGUGGAGGAGGAGGAAAAGGGAUAGGAAGCGGGAGAAGGAGAAGAAGCGGCGUAGAGGUAGUCGAACUAGGAGCAGAACGAGAAAAAUGAACGAGUGAAAAAUAAAGAGAGAGAGAGAGAGAGAGCAAAGAAUAAGAGUAUUUUGAUCAGAUACUAAAAAUUCGAACCGAAUCUAUAAAAUCUAAAAUAAUAACCCGUUUUUGCAAAAACACAAAAUCGGUGAAUAUUUUAUGCAAAAAGACCAAUAGAAAAUUUUGAAUUGAUUCUACAAUUCAAAUUAAAGUUUGCAUUUAGAUUUAGAUUUAUGAAGCAAACUCAAAAUUUAAAUUUGAGUUUUGAAUCUAUUGUUUGAAUUUAAACAAAUUAUUGCUUUGAAAGGUCUACUUAACAAUUUUAUUUUUUAGACUUAAUUUGUAUCUAGCUAGUUAAUUAAUUUUGUUUGCAAUAUGUACAUAUGGAACAUUCUUUCUUUCCACUUAUGAUUCUACCAACUCAAAUUUUUUUAUCCACUUUUAUAUAUAAUAUAUAAUAUAGAAUAUAUAGAAUAGUAUAGAUAAUACCUUAUAUAUACCUAAUUAAAGUGAAAAUCAACUGAGUGUCCAUUUAAAGACUCAUAAUUACAAAGAUGUCCUCCUAAAUUUGGAAAUAUCAAAAAUGCACUUCAAACUGUGUGAUGUUUUCUCUGUACUGAGGCUUUUGGCCUUAGACUUUGCUCGCAAAAUGAGUUCAAACAUACAUCGCAGAUGAAAGAAAUGAAUGAAAUGAACAUACGCUGAAAAAAAAGACACUCCCAAAUUCAGGAAAUAUGCAUGAACAAACAAAACGAAAAUUCAGGAAAUAUGCAUGAACAAACAAAACGAAAUAUACUCGACAUAUUAAAUGGUUUCAAUGGAAUAUACUCGACAUGUGCGACGAUCCAUUUUGUGAUGGAACAAUCGAAUGAAUCAAUAGCUUGUCUAUUGUAACACCAGUGGUAAGUUAAAAGGGAAAAGAAAAUUACAAAUAUGCUGCAGUAGUGUACAACAAAAUGGAACAACAUUGAAGAAUUUGAAGAAUCGAAUUUUGUUUAAAAAAAAACUACAAUAGAAUGGUGCGAAUAAUAAUACAAUGAUCAACUGUUUCUCUCAUCCAUCAGUGGUUGUAUUUCAGAGUGCAUACAGUCGUAGCAUCGUGGAACUGCGUGAGGAAAUGCCGCCUCCUGGGAAAUAAAUUUCUUAAAUCAGAAAGGUUUGCUCUGCUUGUUGUCUCUCUUAAGUUGUACCUUCAAUUUUUUACCGCCUAAUUGGGAUCCAUUCAUUACGUUGAUCGCCGCCUGGGCGGCAGUGGGAGAAUCAUAACUUACAAAACCUGGAUGCAGAUGAAGACAAAAUGACUAAAAAUUCAGCAUCAGAGAGAGAGAGAGAGAGAGAGAGAGAAAGAGAGAGACGUUUACCGAAGCAUUUACUAAUUCCGGUGGCUUUGUCUACGAAAACUUUAGCGCUCAAAACCCUACCAAACCCCUGAAAGGCGUCUGCGAGCUCUUGAUCACCAAAUUCUUGAGGGAUGUGAUAAAUAAAUAAAUUAGCUCCAGGAGGACCUAUAUCAGUUAAAGUUAAACAACCUAUCAGAGAGGACGACCAACAAGAUUUGUGCUGUCACUAUUGAUAUCCAGGCAAAAAUUGUGAAACUUCAGAAACACCCUUUUGUAUAGGCUGAUUUCAUUUUAAUGACCCGCGGUUCAAAAAUGAACAUUUUGCCACCCUUUGGUUUGCUAUUUCCUUUCAAUCACAAAGGGCUCAACUGUUAAAACUAGUCACCUGACAAUCACAUGACUCGACUAUCAACAAGGUUCACUUAGAUUGAGGCCUAGUUUGGUAAUGUGGUGAUUAAAAGCACUAUUUUUAUACUUUGGAAAGUCCAAAAAUUUCAAAAGCGCUUUUAAUCUUUUCUUCUCGUACACUAUAAAAUUGUGGUUGUAACCACAUGCUUCUCUCGCAACAGUUGCAACUGCAAUUUCAAGGCAUUGGAGAAGGAAAGAUAUAAGCAUUUUUGGAUCUUCCAUAACAGGGAAUCAAGUGCCGCCUGUGCCGUACGACACGGGGGCGUGUCUUGGGGGCACGGCACAGAAAGGGUCUCAGAUCCCCCCCCCCCCUCUGUCUUGCGACACGCACAUGCGUACCGCUCGAGACAAAGCGGCACACAGGUGCAUGCUGGCGGCACGUACGGUGCGUGCCGCCCUUUUUUUUUUCCUUUUUGGAUUUUUUUUUUGGCUUUUUCUUUUUUUCUUGGGAAAACUUCAAAUACCCCCCUUGUGGUUUCACUUUUUCUCACUUUAGUACCAUGUGGUUUAAAGUGUAUCAAGUUAGUACCCUGUGGUUUUGCACUUUUUCACUUUAGUACCCUGUGGUUUAAAGUGUAUCAAGUUAGUACCCUGUGGUUUCGCACUUUAUCACUUUAGUACUCUGUGGUUUCGCACUUUAUCACUUUAGUAUACUGUGGUUUUAAAACCACAAGGUACUAACUUGAUACAAAAAUAAAAUCACAGGGUACUAACUUGAUACAAAAAUAAAACCACAGAGUACUAACUUGAUACACUUUAAAGCACAGGGUACUAAAGUGAUAAAGUGAGAAACUACAUGGUACUAACUUGAUACACUUUAAANCCGGAUAGCCGGGCUCGGGCAUCCGGCAUCGGGUGGUAACUGUAGGCUCCCCCCACGCUCCCCGAAGUGGGGGGCGCCAUACCUAGCCUAUAUAAUUAAUUUUUAAACAGGAUAUAACUAUUUGUUUUUUUUAAUUUAAUAUUGAAAAACUGAACGGAUUGUUUAUCUAAAAGCUAAACGUUACAGAAACCGAGCCCUCCACUUCCACCACAGAUAUCUAUUUUUUCCUUCACAAAAAUAUUUUGUCAAAAUUUAUCGCACCGCGAAACUUUCGGUGAAUUAGGGGAACAAAAAUCAAUCUCCUAAACAAAUUUUGAUCAGAUAUUUUUAAAAAGAAUAAAAGAACAAAAAAUAUAGAUGUAAUGUCGGGAAUAUAUAACUUUUUCACAAUAUCAGCAAUACUUAUAUCAACAUUGUCAAAUAAAUCUUAUAUCUGCAGAUGACAAUAUGCCAUAUGAUCAAGCGCGGUGAUCUAUGUAGAAUUAAACAUUCAUCUCUAUAUAAAGAUGUAAAUUUAAAUAAUUAUUGUACUUGUGAAUUUUAUUAUUAUAUUUUAAUUUCUAUUGUACAUUAGGAAUAGUUGUACUUUACUUACAAAAAGUUUACAUGCAUGUUAAUUGAUGAGUAAAGUAAGGGAUACAUAGUAAAUAUUUAUAAUUAUUUAUUUAAAUCUUUCAAAAUAACAUUAUAAAAGUUUAUUAGAACCAAAAAAAUUGAAAUAAGUCCGUGUCAAAGCGUGCCAGUAGGAGGUCAUGCGUAUCUAUAGGCACGCAAGCAUGCCACGUGUCGACAAACAAGAGUGCCUGCGCCAUACCGUGCCAGGUAGGGGUGUAAACGAGCCAAACAUGAACGAGCUGGGCCCGGCUCGUGUUCGCUCCAUUUAAUAAACCAGCCAAACACGAGCUGUCUCGGUUAAAGUGUCGAGCCGAAAAUUCAACUCUGCUGUUCGGCUCGUUAAUAAACGAGCCGAACACGAGCUGGCCAACGAACAAUAAUAUUAAAAAGAAUUAGAUUGAAUAUAUAUAAAAAAUAAAAUUUAUAAAAUUUUAUCAUUAGACUUUAAUCUAAUAGUUGAAACUUUACAUAUAAAUAAGUCUUUUUAUAAUUAAGCUCACAUUUAUAUUUUUAUUUGCUAAAAAUUAAAUAAUAAAAUAUAUAUUAUAUAAAAUAAUAUUUAUUUAUAUAUAAAAAUAUAAAUUAAAUAAAUUAUAUAAAUAUAAAUAUAUGUAUUCGAGCUGUUAUCGCAGCUGAACACGAGCUGAAUUUUUCAGCUCGUUUAAUAAACGAGUCGAACACGAGCUGAAUUUUUCAGCUCGUUUAAUAAACGAGCCGAACACGAGCUGGCUCGCGAACAGCGAGCUGGAUUGCCACCCCUAGUGCCAGGGACAUAACGGCAUGCCCCCGUGCCACGGCACUCUAAACCUUGUUCCAUAGUAUAAAAAUAAUACUUUUAGCCACCACAUUACCAAACUAGGCCUAAGAAUUUAAAUCCCUAUUUGCUAAGUGAUUUAAUUAGUCACUGUACUCACUUUCAAAGGUAUUUGAAUGACAGAGACCUUAGGAGAAAUCAAAACAACCAAUAGAUGUGCUGGAAAAGAGCUAUAUUGUGAUGCCCCACUUCCCAGGAGGUCACCCCUCCUAAACUACUCUAGCCCUAGCACGCUUAAUCUUCUUAAUCUCUUGGACUUAGCUAUCGCCCAAAAUGCUAUAGCCGGGUUAAGAGGUUUAGUCGUAUUUUACCCUAUAUAUAGGACUAUUGUAGAUUCUAAGGGUGUCACAUUCCUCCCCCCUUGCGUUCUCGUCAGGCUCAAGCACACUUACAAGCAUUAGGUGAUACGAGACUUGUCUAACUAGGCUUAACCGACCUUGUGGGGAGCCGCACUCCACCCACAACGGUUAUCAGUCGAGGAGGCGUGCUCUACCCGUUGAGUAACCCUGGCUCAGUUGAGAGUCAUUUCACACUUUUGGCUGGUGAUUAGCUCAGUGACGCCCUACUUCCUAAGGGAGUCACCCAUCCUAAAAUGACUCUAACCCUAGCAUACUUAACCCUCUUAACCUUUUGGACUUAGCUAUCGUUCCAAAAUGCUACAGCCAGGUUAAGAGGUUUAGUUCUAGUAUACUCUAUAUAUAAGACUAUUCCAAAUCUUAAGGGUGCCACAUACACUUUGAACCAAUGGGUGAAAACAAAGUGAAGCCAAGCUACCAUACAUGUGAGAUUUUAAUUUUAAUUUCUUAUUUUUAACUAAAGAACAACCAAAAUAAGCAACAAUCAACCUUCUAUUUGACCACCCGAGCUCGUACUGGCGCUUGAGGCUGAUGCUGAAUUAGCAUUCAUGCUUACAGUUUUGUCUGAACUGUGGGAAUCACCCAAAGAUCUAUUAUUAAUAAAACCACCUGGAUAGGAUACAGGGUAUUGACCUGGCAUAGCAGGAUAUGGUGAGCCUGUAUAUCCAGCAGACUGAAUAGAAGCAUAAGUUCUAGGAAGUGUGCCUGGGGAAAGCUCAGGACUGAGCCCACGCAGAGAGUUUCCUUGAUUAACGGGCGGAACCAUGUUGUGAUAGGCAGCUUGAUUUUGCAUUGAAGCUAAAGGGUACUGCAUAAGCCCGUAAGUUCCAUUUGGCUGGAAGAUCAGCACAAUCGUUAGAAAGUGGAAAAUCAGCACAAUCGGUAGAAAGGUACAACUAUCAACAUGAAAAGUGAAGAAUUAUAGGUGGAUUUUGAUUCAUACAAGGACUACCUGAUGGUAUUUGAAAAGAAAAUUCAGAGCCUGUAACAAGCAACAUCAGCAAUAGGCAUGCGUAACAAAUCUCUAAGCACAUACUUCAGGGUUGCAAUGAUUUUUCAAAAUUAGAUUUUAAUUUGGGUUAAACUACAAACUCUCCCUCUGCAUUUUCAACUGCUUCAAUUCCAACCUUGCCUUUUACUUGUCUUAAAAGGGCCCAAAAAUUUGGGUGAUUUUUUAAUUCCAAUGCAAACUUACACGAAAGGAGCUGGCUAAGAGGCAAAUACUCCAGUUGGGAAGCAGAUCUGUCUCUUAACAUCCGCAAGUCUUUACUGUAAUGAUGUUACUAUGGAACCUAAUAGCUAUGUGCUUCACUUUCCGACCUAACAAAUCAUACGCUAGGCAUCAUGACAGACCCAAGUCAAAUUCAAUAAAAGAAAUUCAUCAUAUAGUGCAUAACAACUAUUUUGUGUUGCUUUGGUUUUAGCAUUUGAAAAUUGAAACUAAGCAGUUAUAACUAGCAUAGGAAAGAGAGCCAACCUGAUAACCGAACCCAUUAUAUGAAGGCAUGUAUCCCAUUGGUAAAGCUCCAAAUAGUGAAGGCUGCUGCAUGGAAUUCGCGUUUGUAAUAUUAGAGGUCUGAGAUUGAGCUUUUUGUGCCCUUCGUGCUUGCCUUUCCUUUUCCGUGUCAGCCCAUUUAACAACCAAAGGCACACUCGAACCCUGAACAGAUGACGGGUUGAAAUAUGUGUACAAAAUUCACGCAAUUAAUAAAAUUGAGCAACCACAAUUUAAAGCAGGCUGUAUAUUACUCGGCAUAAGCUAUAAUGUAACAUAAAUCAAGCUAAUAUCUAAGAGACUCAAAUAGUUUAAAUAAAGUUUCAUGGAACAGAUAUAUUAAUUGUGCAGAUCCUCAGGAUCAAAUCAGCCUCGUGGGACCAUCGACCACAUGAUGUAUUUCCUACAGGAAGGCAAUGUCUACUAAUUCCUAUAGGCAUAAUAAUGUACAAAAAGCCACAAAAUUGCAAUACUUGUCCCUAUCAACUCUAAUUGGAGGCAUUCGUCCUCGAUUCAUGAGUAAAUGGAUGCAUUACACAGAUGUCAUGGUUCAGCACAGCAUAAAUAGAAAGUGACACAACAGCUACCAUCUGUAUCUACAAGAAAUUAGAUGAUUCUUAUUCUGCAUAUUCCUGGCCACUGUCAUACAACUGUGCUUCUCUUUUAUGAUUAUUCCACAUUUGACUAAACCAAGAUUUCGGUCAAAUGAUUAAAUCAGUAAUUAUCAAGUCCUUUUCCUACAGGUAGAGAACAAGAAAUUUGAGGUUAAUUGGAAAAAUUCAUAAAUUUGUACUCCUGGCCGAAUAAUCUAAAUUUAUGUUUUGAAGAAGUGGUUCUAAAAUAUGGACAGAAGUCAGACAAGAGUUACUGCCUACGUAAACUAGAAGACUGUUUAAGUAAGCAAUUCACCUCCGCAGCAAAAAUUUGGCUCAUGCAGCCGAGGAGCAAUUCUACAGUCCCUGUAGGCAUAAGAAAGAUUGUAGAAGAAGAAAGGAAAGAUGAUAGUGCUUCAUCACAGAGUUUCCUUCCUAAAGAGUUACCGAUUAUCAGUUCAUGCUUUAGAUAUUUCUUCUAAGUUUCGAUGAUAGUGACAUCAUAUUUGGCUCAAGCAAAUCUGUUAUUCCAAAUUCUACACAACAACUCAAACCAUUUCAACUACCAUUCUAAUUUUAAAUUUUAUAUUGCUCGUAAACAUUUUUCAAAUGAACAGGAAUUUCAUGGAUAGGAACAACAUUUAUGAGGGAAUUGGUUGUGUCUGGAGAAAUGAUGUUCAAGAUCCCCCAGAACUUUGUUACCUUAUAUAAAUGUACUUGCUAAAAAAAAUUAGUAGGUAUAAGGAAUUUGGAAUAAGAAGCAUGCUGAGGUAUCCCUUUUAUAAGAUUUGCUUCAACUUCUUUGUUGAUUCUACUUUCAGAAUCUUCUCUAAAUCAAGUAUCAAUUCAAUCAAUUUAAGUACCUCACAUGUUACCUCUACAGUGCCAUUGGUAUAAUAUGAGUCAGACACUCGUAAAUGUUAUCCUAAACAAAAUCUCCUAACCCUAGUUUCGCAAUACAUGGGUUUGAUCACUUCUAUAAGACCGAUAAGCAAGUGAAACUCAUCAUUCAAUGUUCCCAUGAUAAUGCAUAGGGGCUCCAGCUACAUAUAUAAAUGUGAUCAAAGAGGCUCUAUGAAAACUUAAAAUCUAUGAAUAAAUAUUCUCCAUAGUAGGAAUUAGAGUUCGACUUCGACAUAAAAAUGACCAUAACAAGGAAAUCUAAUGUGAUGGCUUGUUGACACAGCUUACUGUUAUUUCUAAGGGGUGAUUUUUCUCAUAUUCGUAAUGUGCGUCUCAUUUGCAACUAGCUGUGACUUUGUCAAGUAGAUAGCUAGCAGUUUGGUCUACUUACAAGUAGAGCUCGAUCGAUUUCCACAUACUUGGUUUAUCCUUUAUCAAUCAUUUUCUUGAUCAAGAUGUCAACUAACUCCCCGAGUUCUUCAUACAAACAAAAACAAUCUCAGUUUAAAUUUAUGAUCAUGCAUACGUAACCUAUACAUGCAUUUACUUGUAGAAAAUUAGGAGCCCAGACGACGUAAAACUCACAAUUUCCUGAACUGGUCACAUUAAGUGCACGCUAGUGACAGACCAACAAGCCAUACUAGGAAAGAGUAAAAAGGACCACUUAUGUAGCUAUGCAUGUUGGGCAACACCUUAACCAUCUAAUCCAACCAAAAUAGCCAUCUGGCACCAUGAUUAUGUGCCAGUAAUGUAAGCACUACUGGUAAAGAAAAAGAUGUAAACCAACAUAUGCGUCCUGAGUAGUUGUCAUUAACUUCGUCUGAUUAGGAAAAAAAUCUCUUGAAAAAAUGGAGUACAAUUGUUCCACAUUAAGAGCUUAUAUGGUUCACCUAUUUUAGACUAUGGAAUCGAAAUGAGAUUCAUCGAUUUCAAAUAUUAUUGUUUGUUCUACAGGAAUUGGAUCCUAAUUCCCAUUCCACUCUAAAAUAGGAAUGGCCCAAUCUGGUUUUGAAUUCCAGAUUAACCCAUUCCAGAGUAAACAAAUCAAAGCCCUCUCUAACAAACACCUCCCCCUCCUCUCCCUUCAUUAUUUUCCUUUCCCUUAACCAAAACUCUCGUUCAAAAUCCUAGGUAUCCCAAUUUUCCAUUCCGAUUUUUAUUCCGAUAAUGAUUGAUUCGUACCAUUUUCCAUUCCAAUGCAAUUUAAGUGGAAAACUAAAUCUCAUUUGAAUAUAUGAGACCUACACGCAAGUAAUAAUAAUUGGGUUUAAGCAUUUUAGGCCGGUGGUUUGAGCCCAACGACUUAUUGUUGCUAGCGAGUCGGAUCGUUACAUUAGUAUCAAAGAUGAAUACCAGCUGGAAGUGUGAGAGCUAAGUGCUAUGCGGAGCAAAGUGCUACAUCAAUGGAUUUGGUGGGAGUCAUCUCUUGAACCCGUGGGAGCCACCUCUAGAAUCUCACAUAGCCUGGUAAUUCUGAUAUGCAUCUGUGAUCUAAUUUGGACCCGACGAGGAUGUCAGGGUCUAAAUAGGGAAAGUUUUUAACCCCCCAACACUCCCACAUCGGUGGAAAACUUAAUCUCAUUUAAAUAUAUGAGGCCUACACGCUAGUAAUAAUAAAAGGGCUUAAGCAUUUUGGGCUGGUGGUUUGGACCCGACGAGUUAUUGUUGCUAGCGGGUCGGGUCGUUGCACCCUAAAUAUUGUCAAUAUCACCAGAGAAAUUCUAGAGUUGAGAAGAAACAAACCUCCAUUCUAUAUUUCCCAUUUAAAGACUCGAUGGCUGCCAAAGCUUGUUCUUUAGUUUCAUACUUCAAAAAGGCACAUCCAGCUGUAUCAAAAAUAACAAAAGAAACAAUUGCUACAUAAAAUUGGAAAAACUGAUCCACGUUGGCGUAGACAAGCAAGUUAAAUUUUCAUGUGAAUUUACCAGGUCAAUACUAUGCUUAGGAGGAAAGUAUACCUUUGUUUGCUUGGUGUGAACCUUUAAGUAUUUGCAAGUCUUUAAUGCUACCAUAUGUUGAAAAUAAAGCAGAAACUUCGUCCUCAGUUAUGUUCUUUGGAAGCAUACCAAUGAAAAGCUUGUGUUCUGUAUUAGAAGAUGAAGCGAAUCAGAGAUGUACGACAAAAGCCAUACCUGAAAAGGUGUGUAAUUUCUGAACAAAAAGAAAGCAUAAAAGUACGCAACCAAGAAUAAUGUCGUGUUGUUAGAAAAUGACAAGAUUCUAUAAAUCUGAAUAAAUCAUACCUAAUCUUUCUAGCUCGCCAUCUGCAUACUUCACUUGCAACGGACUGGAUGCCUGAGUGGAGCAUAUUAGAACAACCUUCAAUCAUGACUACAGAGCACGUCAAAGCCUAAUGCAGAGAUCUACCUUCAUAUGUUACAGCUUACAAUAACAUAGGGUUCAACGACGAAUCCGAGACCUAUCACAAUGGCAUAGGGUGCAGCAAGGCACAUGCCCACCCAGGUCCACUUCUUGCUAUGCCCAUGCUAUUUAUUAAUUAAUUUGUAUGAUCGAAGAGCCUUGCUCCUCAUGCAAACACACCUUCUCUCACUUGACAAAAGUUAAGAUACAAGCUUUCGUGACAUAAUUUUUUGAGUUUCAACAACAACAAAAUCGAAGCAAAGUUGGCUUUUGUGAUGUCAAUGGUAGCAUAAUUUAACAGGAUCGAAAUUACGCACUAAGCAUAGAAAUAUGAGCUCGCAAGGGAAUACAUAGUAUAUAAAACAAUCAUUCUUAGUAAAAUCAUUUCCAGAAGCUAAUUUCUCUACUCACAGAGAAGCAGCCCCAAAAUAUACUAGAAAAUUAAUAAUUCCAUCCUUUCCCUAUUCGGACGAUACAGAGACAAUGCACUGUCACAAUCACGGCGACUAAUUACGACCGCAUCCAACAUUUUUCCGGAGAUCCCGGCUGAGACAGUUUUAGGUUAUCACUCUCAUAGACAUAUUUAAAACCAUUUCUGGGAGCGAAUUAUUCGUUUACUCCGAUUCCAUUGAACUAGUGAUCGAUUGCACUUGAGAAGUGUUCAUUCACUGUUUCCUCCUCCUCCUAAUUCCGAUUUUCUCUAAAAAAGACGAAAUCCGAUGCUAAUUCUACGCCAUUUUGACCAAACCCUUGCGGCGAGAUCUCGGAGAAGUCGCACCGAUCCCGCAUUACAGAACAGAGGAAAAGGAGAUGCAGAUCUAAGCGAAACCAAGAUGAAUACGUACCCCGGGCAGCGUGCGCUUGUUGUGGUAGGAGUUCACUGCCUUGUCGGCCUCGGCCCGCGAGGGGCAGAUCAAGAAGCAGCACCCUGCGGAAGCAAUGGCGUAAAACCAUUCCCAGCAUUUUGCGGGAUCGGCAUGAGGGAUCGAGAGAGGGGGAGAGAGAGAGAGAGAGAGAGAGAGAGAGAGAGAGAGAGAGAGAGAGAGAGAGAGAGAGAGAGAGAGAGAGAGAGAGAGAGAGAGAGAGAGAGAGAGAGAGAGAGAGAGAGAGAGAGAGAGAGAGAGAGAGAGAGAGAGAGAGAGAAGGAGACCUCGGGAGGUUUUGGUGGCCUUGUCCUUGAUGAUGUUGACCUCGUCGACGAGCGCCACCUCCUCGAACAUGGCGAGGAGCUGCGGCUCCGUCAUGUGCUUCGGCACCUGCCCCACGAACAGCUUCACGCUCUCCCUCCCCCUCUCGUUAACGGCGCUGUUUUAGAUUUCUUUUUUUAUUCUCUCUCUCUUCUUCUUCUUCUUCUUCUUCUUCUUCUUGUAGCUGGUCGUGUUUGUUUUUGGUUAAUUAUAACAGGCAAUUAAUUGUUUUGUUUUUGGUGAACGUUUAUAAAUUGAGAGCCCCUCAACUAUAAGUUAUUUUGAAGUAGGCCUCUAAGAUAGUUUGAAAUAGGCCCCUGAACUCUUUUUGUUUUCCUAGACAAAAAAAUAGAAUUUUUUUAAUAAAUAAUCCUACCGAUUUGUAUAAUUAUAAAAAUAAAUUUUUUUAAAAAAUUAUUAUAAAAAUAGAUCUCUAAUAUAUCAAAUUGAGUUUUUUAAAAAAUAAAUAAUAUAGGCCGUGAAUGAGUCAUCAUAUUUAAAUGCGGUGAAUCAUUCAUCGCUUUCAUAACCUCUCCUAUUAUUGUUAUAGAGACAUAAAAUAGAAUAAAAGAGAAAUUGAAAGAAAGCUUUUAUAGGACCGUAAAAUUUUAAUAAAUAUGUUAAAUUAUUCACCGCUUUUACUAAUAUUUUUUUCUCUCUUUAUCAUAAAACUAUAUUUACAAAUAAAAAUUUAGUAGGUCUAAUUUUAAAAAAAAAAUUUGGAAAAAGACUACUCCACUAAAAUCUCCCAAAAAUAUAUAUAUAUAACUUAUCUGUACUUUUAAUCAUUUUGAGUCGGCUAUUUAGAGCCUUUUCAAAGUUUUGCUUUUUAAUCCAAAAUUUUUCAAUUUAUUUAAUUUGAGUAGGCCAUCAAUACUUGGGCUUUGAAAUUUAAGCUUAUUACUUUAAUAAAUUUAUAGUUGUAAGAAUCGAAUGAAGUAUACUAUUUAAAUAUGUACAAAUAAACAACGAAUUAAAAAUUUAAAAUCAAAGUGUCGUUGAUCGACUCAAAUUCAGUAUAUUACAGGGAACUUCCUUCCCUUGAUUCCACCAAAUUUUCUAGAAAUUCGUCAAAAAUUUUACUCUUAUUCACACGCAACCUAACCAGCUCAAAAUGCAGUGGUAUAUAGGGAUAAAAAAUAGGAUACAAAUUAGGAUCAAUUAAACAUUUGAAGUCAAACUAUAAGGUAGGUGACAUUUUGGUCAUCAAACUUUAAUUUGUUGUAAUUUCUAUCUCGAACUUUCAGAAUUAUUAUAACUAAAUAUUAUAACCUUAUUUAGUUGACUAAAUAUUAAUAUAUUGCUAACGUAAAAAUGGUGUAGUAGUGUUUUGAUUGAUGAUGUAUCAAUAAUUAAGUUGACAGAUCGCUUUUACAUUAGUGAUGUAUUAAUAUUUAAUCAACUAAAUUAGGUUGUGGGACUUGAUUGUACCAGUUAUAAAAAUUUGAGAUAAAAAUUACAAUAAAUUAUAAUUUAAGGACUAAAAUAGCACGUUCCUUAUUGUUUGAGGACCAAACAUGUAAUUUACCCUAAAAAUUAAUUCACCCAAAAUUUGACUCCAAUUGACAUUGAACUUUUCAUGAAAUUUUAUUCAGAUUAUUACUGAGAUUUAAUUUAUUUCAAUUAAGUCAGUAAAUUUUAAUUUUAUUUUAAUAUUUAGCAAGCUUCAUUAAACUUUUUUGUAAUUUUUCAUACAAAAUGGUAAAGUAGUAGGCAAUUUCGGUAUAACAUCAUAUUCUAAAUUAUUUUUCAAGUUUUGAUUUAUUUUCACUUGUAAAAAAUUCAUAUUACUAGUAUAUAAAAUUGAGCUAGAAUGAUAUCGGUAGCAAACGGACUCCGUUGCCACCCAUUUGUUUUCGAUGAUGGAGCUUUCAAAUCGACGAUCGGCACCAUUGAACAUGAUCUAUAUCACUUGAAGUAUCUAGAAAUCAAAUUUUAAAUCUUUUCGACAUUAUUUACCUAAUGAUCAAAGAGUUUCAAAAUUAGUAAUUUUAACGAUNCCUGGCGCGUGAUUUGUUUUUUUUUCUAGAUUUUGUUUGUUUGUUUGAUAUUUUUUUACAUUUAACCUCUCUUCAAAAAAUUUAAUUUUGACUUUUUUUCAGAUUUUUUUUUUGACAUUUCGUUUAAUUUUUCAGAUUUUUUUUGUUUGGUUUUCCAGAUCGAGCUUCGCCGCACGCCCCCGUCGCUCCCUGGCGCCGCCCCCCGCACGCCCACGUCGCUCCCUGGUGUGUGCACUUAAACGAGGUAUGAUUUUUUUUUUUUUGUUAUUGCAACUAAAAAAUAGAUCUACAACUUUAGAUUUGUUUAUUUGAUUGGUUUGAUUUGUUUUUUUCCAGAUUUUGUUUGUUUGUUUGAUUUUUUUUACAUUUAAUCUCUCAUAGAAAAAUUUAAUUUUGACUUUUUUUCAGAUUUUUUUUUUGACAUUUCGUUUGAUUUUUUAGAUUUUGUUUGUUUGGUUCUUAUAUUUAUAGUUAUAGCUUCUUAUAGUUAGCUUUUUAAAGUUAUAGUUUUGAAGGCAUUUUUUUUUAAUUUGAUCUCUCAGAAAGAAAAUUCUGAAAAAUACUAGCAGGAAAGGCUUUUUUUAAAAAAAACUGACAGUUAUUAUUUUUAAAAAAUUUGAUUAUUCGUUGUAGUAGUCUUAUUUUAUUUAGAUCUAUUCACUUUCUCUAACAAUUUUCUCUGAACCAAAUCCUGCUAAUUGCAUCUUUUUGUGUUGAAAAUGAAUAGAAAAAUCCUGCUUAUCUGAAAAAGUCAUGCAGUGGAUCCACACACACACGCACACACACACAAAAAUGCUAGUGUUUAGUUUUGAUUUAGAAAAAUCUGAAGGCAUUUUUUUGUGUGUGGAUCAUUCUAUUCACUUUCAAUACAAAUCUCUUAUAGUUGAUUCUCUUUUGUCUUAGUUCUUGUAAUUUAUUUUUUCUCAUUGAAUGUAUUAUAGUUGAUUCUCUUUUAUAUUGUUUGAGCUUUGUUUGAGAAUAUUAAUUUUAGUUUGAGAAUGUUAACUUUAGUUAUUUUUAUAGGAGUUAGUUGAACGAUGGAACAUGGCUCUAUAAUUGGUUCCUCAGUUUCAAUGUCUAAUCUUGAUGUUAGAGAUGAGGUGAAUGAGGAAAUUGGAAAAAUAGUUGCUAACGAUCAUACAUCGAAUGUGAGCAAAUACCCCGUCGAUGAGAUACGUGUUGGUUUAGAAUUCACUUGUAUAGAGGAUGCAAAAAAGUUUUAUAAUGAUUAUGCUUUUAAAAUGGGAUUUAGUAUAAGAAAGCAAACUCAUUAUAAGGCAAGAAAACAGGAUGAUGCCAUCACAUCUAUAACCUAUUGUUGCUCCAAAGCCGGUAAUUCUAAACCUACAUCUCAAGAGAAGAGUGAACAGCAAAAUUCUCAAGGUACCCAUACACCCCAAAAGGAUUUUCCCAACAGACGAACUAAUUGUAAAGCGCAUAUUGUAUUGAAAAUAGAUGAUCGAGGGAAGUGGGUGAUAACGGUGUUUGCUAACGAACAUAAUCAUGAGUUGAUAGCUAGUCCCUCUAAAACUCGUUUUUUUCGAUCACAUCGUAACAUCACAAAGGAGCAAAAAGAUUUGAUUCAUAUGUUAAAUGAACAAAAUAUCUCUGCUUCACAAAUUAUGUCGUUUUUGGAAGUGAAAGAAGGAGGAAGACAUAAUACUCAGUUCAUUCGCAAGGAUUUGAGUAACGAGGUUGUCGAAAAGAAUAGAAAACUUAUUGGAAUAGAUGUGGCAAGUGCUCUUAAUUACUUUCGUAAGCUCCAAAGAAAGGACCCCUUAUUUUUUUAUGCUGUUGAUGUUGACGACCAAGAAAGAGCACGGAAUAUAUUUUGGGUAGAUGGAAGAUCUAGGAUGGCAUAUGAGCACUUUGGUGAUGUUAUCACUUUCGACACAACUUAUAUGACGAACAAUUAUAGUAUACCAUUUACUCCCUUUAUAGGGGUUAAUCAUCAUUUUCAGUCAAUUUUUUUUGGGUGUGCUCUUAUUAGGGAUGAGACUGCUAAUACAUUUUGUUGGUUGUUUGAAACAUGGAUAAAGGCCAUGUAUGGUAAACACCCGAAAGCUAUUAUUACUGACCAAGAUCCUGCUAUGAAGAAAGCUAUUGAGAUAGUCUUUCCAACUACUGUUCAUAGGUGUUGUCAAUGGCAUGUUAUGAGAAAAGCAAAAGAACAUUUCAAUGUGUUAUAUAGCUCCAAAGAUGGCUUUGAAAAUAAUUUAAAGGAAUGCAUAAAUAAUAGCUUAACUAUGGAGGAAUUUGAGAAUGCAUGGGCAAUAAUGCUUGAUAAGUAUCAAUUGCAUGAAAAUAACCACCUUCGAUUGUUAUGGAAUAUUCGGCAUCAAUGGGUUCCCGUGUAUUUUCGUGAUACUUUUUUUGCGAAUAUGUCCACUUCACAGCGUAGUGAAAGUAUGAAUGCUGUAGCAAAAAUAUGGUUGGAUUCACAUACAUCAAUAUUUAAAUUUGUCACUCAGUUUGAAAAAAUGUCAAACAACCAAUAUGAGCGAGAAGACAUGGAGGAUUUUAUGACAAAGGAUGAAGAGCCUACUUUAUGGUCAGAUGAUCCAAUUGAGAAAGAUGCACGGUCCAUAUAUACAAGGACAAUUUUUUCAGAAUUUAAGGCUCAACUAAGGGCUACAACAGGUUAUAAGUUGGUUGAAUUAGAAAAAGACAAGUUGUACAAGAUUAGUUCGAUUUCACAACCUUCGACGUCAAGACAACGAAUGUGCACAUAUACUAUCACAGUUGUAAGGUCCGAAGAUAUAGUAUCUUGUACUUGUAAGUUGUUUGAAUUUUACGGUCUCCUAUGUGCUCAUGCACUUAAAGUGAUGCAUCAUAUUGAAGUGUAUAGUAUCCCUCCUAGGUAUGUUAUAAAAAGGUGGAUUAAGAAUGCCAAAAAAGGAACAUCCACUAAUUCUCUAGAAAUGAGUGAUGGGUCCUUAUUUUGUCGGUCUUGAAGAUUUGAUUCACUUGCAUUGGAGGCACAAAAAUUUAUCUUUGAAGGAUCUAAAAGUCUUAAGGCAUAUGAAAAUGCAUGUCGAAUAAUUAGAGAAGGAGUGGAUGUGCUAACAUCAAUUAAUCAAAUAAUAAAAAUUGAGGAAGGAAGAAAUGAGGAGACUUCAAAUGAUCUUCGUAGGACCCUAAUUUCACAAUCAAGUCUUAACCAAUGCACGAUUAAAGAUCCCCCUCACUCACAAUGUAAAGGACGAAGAAGACCCCAAAGGAUUAAGCCACCCGUCGAAAAGAAAGCAAGGAUGUCAAGAACUUGCAAGCAAUGUGGUAAAAAGGAACACAAUAUUAGGACAUGCAAAGAGGUAAAAUAAAUUUUUAUUUUUAGUUUCAAUACCAUAAUAGUUUUUUUGUUACCUUUGUCAAAUUUUUCUACCUUUACUAUAUCACAUCAUGUUAACAAACAUAGUAUUUUGUAGGUUGUUGAUAGAGCAUUGUCUAUUGAAGAAAAUUCUAGUGAGAGUUUUCAAGCAACCGAUGAAGAGUCUUGAAAGCAUAAUAGAAGAUUAUAUGAAGAAAGAGAUUUUGUAUUGUAGAAGGUUUGUUUGUGCAUGUAUGUUUUGGAUUAUUAUGUAUGAUCAUAUUGUCAUUUCUUAUUUGGUGGCAUACAUUGUAACUUUUGUACUAGAGAAGUUUUGUUUGUGCAUGUAUGUUAUGGAUUAUUGUGCCUGGCCUUUCUUGAUUUUUUGGAAGGUAUUACUUUGUGCUCAUCAUCUUUAUUUAGCAUUUGAAUAAGUUUGCAAUAUCCGUUUUUGUGAGGGGAAUUAAUGUGGUAUGACUACAUCUGCAUUAUCUUUUUCUUUGCUCUCUCACUGUGUUUGAUGGGUGUAUUGGUAUACACUUAUGUGUGUACAAAUAUCUAACUUAAUAUGCUGGGUGCUCAUCAUCUUUAUUUAGCAUUUGAAUAAGUUUGCAAUAUCCAUUUUUGUGAGGGGCAUUAAUGUGGUAUGACUACAUGAACAUUAUCUUUUUCUUUGCUCUCUCACUCUAUGUAUGAUGGGUGUAUUGGUAUACACGUGUAUACAAAUAUCUAACUUAAUAUGCUGGGUGCAAUAGCUCUUAGUGGUAAUAUUGUGCCUGUUGAGAUCCAUGACAAUUAAAACAAAGUGGUAAACUAAUGAAAAGCAUGCGGUCAUUAGAGGUCAAUACUACAUAUUGAAAUAGCAACAUACAUUUUUUUCAUACAAUUUUUUGGCUUUCUAAGAGAAUAAAAUUUUAACACACAAAAUUGCUAAAAUAAAUACAAUAAAUAUCUUUCUUUCUAUCUCGAUUCUUUCCGUCAAUGUAGCUGUCCUUGUAGAAACUUCCGCAACUUUAGUUUUCAAGUCCUCUAUUUGCUCAGACAAAUUAGAGAGGUUGUAAUUUAUAGUUUGAAGUAUCUUUUCAUUUGUUUGUUUUGGAGAACUUGCUGCUGAUUCAAACGCCGAACUUUCCUUCAACUGUGAGAGAUUUGAACUCCCCCCUUCCAAAUGUUCUUUGAAUAUCAUUGAUUUCUUAUCACACCACAUGAAAAAGUCACAAUAAUUUUCAUUAUUCUUUCCAUAUUUGCGACAACCGUAAAACUGUCUUCCUUUACUUCUAGCUUGUUGUGAAGAUCGAAUCAUGGCUAUCUCGUUACAUUUGCACAAAAUUAGCCCAUCUUCCGGAGAACUUGCCAUCAAUAACCUACAACAAAUGGAAAACUUAUCACAAUUAUAAUUAAACUAUUUAUUUGAUUCAGCAUUUUUUUUUUGUGUGUGUGUGGAUCAUGCAUGAUUUUUUCAGAUUAGCAGGAUUUUUCUAUUCACUUUCAACACAAAAAGAUGCAAUUAGCAGGAUUUGGUUCAGAGAAAAUUAUUAGAGAAAGUGAAUAGAUCUAAAUAAAAUAGACUAUUACAAUGAGUAAUCAAAUAUAUCAAUAUCAAAACUUCCGUAAAAAAAAAUUAAACUAGAGAGUCUUUCUUUUAAGACUUUUUAUGAUCGUCCUUUCCGAAAAAAAUUUUUUUUUGACUCUCAAUAAUAAAAAUUUUUNNNNNNNNNNNNNNNNNNNNNNNNNNNNNNNNNNNNNNNNNNNNNNNNNNNNNNNNNNNNNNNNAGAGUUGAGCUGGAAUGCUAUCGGUAGCAAACGGGCUCCGUUGCCACCCAUUUGUUUUCGAUGAUGGAGCUUUCAAAUCGACGAUCGGCACCGUUGAACAUGAUCUAUAUCACUUGAAGUAUCUAGAAAUCAAAUUUUAAAUCUUUUCGACAUCAUUUACCUAAUGAUCAAAGGGUUUCAAAAUUACUAAUUUUAAUGAUUGAUAUGAGGGUUUUUCUCGUUUAACGGUGUAAAGCUAUCUAAAUCAAUUGAAUUUUGGUUAGAAAAUUUUUUUAAACUAUUUAGAACAAGAUCUAUACUCUCGAUCAUGAUUACAAAAUUUCUAUCAUAACUUUUUAGAGGAUAUUCAUUUUCAGCCAUUUAUUUUUACGCCCACUUGAUGGACAAGAAAACAAUAUCGGAAAAGUAUGAAAUUUGAUUUCUAGAUAUUUCAAGUGGUAUAGAUCAUUUUCAAUGGUGCCGAUCGUCGAUUUGGAGGCUCCAUCAUAGAAAAUAAAUGCGUGGCAAUGAAGCCCGUUUGCUACCGAUAGUAUUCCAGCUCAACUCUAUAUAUAUAUAUAUAUAUAUAUUACACUAAAGCAGUGUCCUUACAACGAUAUUAUGCUGGCGUAAUUUUGAAUUAAGAAAUUAUUUGGUUUAGAUUAUUUAUUUUAGCGUAAAAUUUAAUGUGCCCCCCUUUGGUUUUCUAUAUUUUUAUUUUGCCAUAUUAUGGUUCAAAAAAUUAACUUAAAUAAUUUAAAUAUUUUAUAAUUUUAUUUUUUAAUUUUACUAUAAGGUCCUAUUGUUAAAUAAGAUAACAAAAUGAUAUUUUUUGUAGAUCAUAGAAUGAUACUGUACGUAUUACAGAAUGAUAAAAAUAUUAUAUUGUACUUUUUUGUGGUUUGCAAAAAAUAUUAAUAUAUAUAGAGAGAGAGAGUAGAGAGCUACUAUGUAAUCAGAAAUAUAGAAAAUCUAAUAUUUCUGACCUUUUGACAUUUAGAUGAUCAUUUCUAAUCUUUGGAUUAGUAUUAUUAUUUUAUAGGGACCACUUAACUCUAAAAGACUACUCAACCCUAAGGAGAUCGCAAUCAUUCCAACCGUACAAUUCUUGAUCCAAGGACCAAAAAGUCGGAAGUACCAAGUCCUCUAUACUUCCGAUAGCAUUGUAGCUCUACACCUUAAUUACUACAAUGCUAUCGGAAGUAUAAAGGAUCUGAUGUUUCUAACUUUUUGAUCCUUAAAUCAAGAAUUGUAUGGUUAGAAUAAUUGCGGUCUCUCAGAGAGUUGAAUGGUCCCCCAAGGGGUGGGUGAUUUCUAUAAAAUAAUAAUAUUAAUCUAAAUGAUAGAGAUGAUCUAAGAACUAAAAAGUCAAAAGUACGGUCUUUUAUGAUUCCGAUAGCAUAGUAGCUCUAUUCGUAAUCUAUUUACUAAAUACUAAAGUAAAACCCUUGGUGAAUCCUUGGUGUAAAACUGACACGUAGUUUUCUAUACGCUUGCCAUGUGUCAAGUUCAAAUAUAGAUUUUCUACUUUAGGGAAAUAAAAUUAGAUUUUUUUUUUAGGAAAUAAUGAUUAGGAAAUAAUAUGCUUUCCAUAUGCUUUCAAUAGUAAAUAGAUUUUUUUAGAAAAUAAUAAUUAGGGUAUCAAUACUAAUAACUUUUAUUAUUCUAUAUUAUUAUUAAUUAGGAAAUAAAAUUAAUAUAUUAUUAUUAACUUUUAUUAUACCAAUUAAAUAUAAUUAAAUAUAAUUAAAUCAAAUUAAAUAAAAUUAAUUCAUGUUAAUUCAAAUUAAGUCAAAUUAGAUUUUUUUAGGAAAUAAUAAUUAGAAAAUAAAAUGCUUUCUAUAUGCUUUCUAUAGUAAAUAGAUUUUUUUUAGGAAAUAAUACUUAGGGUAUCAAUACUAAUAACUUUUAUUAUUCUAUAUUAUUAUUAAUUAGGAAAUAAAUUAAUAUAUUAUUAUUAACUUUUAUUAUACUAAUUAAAUAUAAUUAAAUAUAAUUAAAUCAAAUUAAAUAAAAUUAAUUCAAAUUAAAUAAAGUGAGCGGUUUAUUUUUCUUCAUGUUAUUUCAAAAUUUACAAUUUUGCAAUAAUUCAACUCUGUCAUUUUAUUUUUUAAAUAAAUUUAGAUUCUUUUAUGAAAAAAUUCACUAAUAUUAUGAUAUUUAUCAUUUCACUUAUCUAACAAUUUAUCUAUAUUAUUAUUGGAGUAGGUACUUUCCAUCUUCAUGCAAUAAAAUUUUUUUUCUUUAUAUUUUCUUGAAGAUCAACAUCUAUAUAUUUUUGAAUCUUGGAAGUUGGUAUGUCUCUCAUAUAAUGUACUUACUAUAAUUUGUGUCAAAUAUGAAAGUUUAGUUGAUCUCAUGCUUAAAUAUUAAUGUUAUUUGUAAUUUUUCAUAUCAAUUUUAGUUAUCAUUUUGUUUUGCACAUCAAUAUAUUAAUAUAAAUUGUUUUGCACACCAAUUCAUAGAUAAUAGAGCAUUGUUGAAUUUUGCAUUUUACUUGAGUAUUUACUUUGGUCCAAAAAUUUUUUUCUCUAGCUUUUGUACUUUAAUAUGUACUAUAAUUAAGAUUGAUAGUAUAUUUUUUAUUUGUUAAAAAAAAUAUAAUAUUAAUUAGAAUAUUUUUAUUUUAUCAACCCAUAAUAACUUUUAUUAUUCUAUAUUAUUUUAUUAGCCGUGCAUCGCACGGGUCAAAUAUCUAUCGACUUUUUAGGGUAUCAAUACUAUAAUUAAGAUUAAUAGUAUAUUUCUUUAUUUGUUAAAAAAUAUAAUAUUAAUUAGAAUAUUUUUCUCUUAUUAUUACAUAAUAACUUUUGUUAUUUUAUAUUAUUAUAUUAGCCGUACAUCGCACGGGUCAAAAACUAGUUAAGUAUAAUAUUUUAAACCACGAGAUAUCAAAUUAACUAUAUGCUAUACUUCAAGAGGGCAAAUAGAAGUUUACCUUUUAUUUUUCUAAACCUCAAUGCAUCAGAUAUAUUCUGUGCACUAACUAUUUAUUUGAAAUUUAAAAUGUAAGGCAUAGAUUUAUUCUACUAAAUCUGUACAAUUUAAAUUAUUUAUUCUAAGUUUAAAAUCUAAAAGGUUUUAUUCUACUAAAGCUUACCGUCACUAAACCUUACUGUCCAUACAAAAUAUUUAAAAUUAUAGUUAUUUAAGUUAAGGUGGGCAAUUGUUUAUAUAUUCCUGUAAAAUUUUAAAUUUAUUUAUUUAUUCCACUUAGAAGGCUAAUAUAAAAAGUAAUCUUUUAACAUUCUAAAUUCUUUUAAAUAUACUCCUAGAAUUAGAUUCUAUUACUGAACUGUUAAGAACAACCGUUAUCUCUGUGAUACGUUGCAUUUUUAAAAUAGAUUAAUUGUAUAUAGCUCCCUGUAAACAUAUCGAAUAGUAGAUAUAUCUCUAUAAAAUUCAACUUUUUACAUUUAAUCCUGCAAAAAUUCUAAUAUUUUCAAAUAUAUCUAUGCUGUUAAGAUCCUUAGAAAAAGUAGUUAAUUAUAGGUAAAAUACUUAACUUUGUUUAGUGAAUAAAGUAAAUUGACUUUUUUUGUCCCUUUUACGUUACUUUUGAUGGUAGAAAAGAAGGAGAUGAUUGUUGGAGAUUUUUAGGAUGACAUUUCUGUAUAAUUCUAACAAUUAAGACUUUAGGAGGGACAUAUUUGUGAUGAUAAAAAUGGCAUUUCACUUAUCUUCUAUUGAAAAAUAAACAGUGCUCUAACGGUAACAAAUCAGAAAGAUAUAUGAAUAUCAUUGAACUUUUGUAUAAAUAAAUAUAAAAAAUUAAACUUUAUAAAAAUACUUUUGCUAUUCAAUAUAUUUACGUAGAGCUAUGUAAAAUUAACCCUUUUAAAAUUAUAGUAAUUUGUAGUGUAGUAUUCUCCUAGGUAUGUUGCAUUUUUAAUUUUACAAAUUAUUUUUUCCCUUUUAUUGUAGGUUGCUCGUCUUAUGUUUGGUCUAGUCAACUAGACGGUCACGCACUGCAACAGCUAAUUUGGUCGGUUCGGGUACGUCCACGGACGCCUAACGGACAUCACCUUUCCUGUCCGUCCAAGGCUCAACACAAGUAUUAACAUGUAUAACAAUUUGUGCAAACAAAAAUUUAGACAUAUACAGCUUACACGAGGGCAAACAACAACCAAUCAAGUGAAAGUACUACUGCUAUUACAUUCACACAUGUAUCUUGAUUAUACUUAACCAAAUAGAAGCUUACCAUAAUUUACAUCCAUUUUUUCCAAGUACAUCAUAUAUCCUCAAAAAUAGGUGUCAUUUACAUCAUUUAUACAUUUUCAUUACACCACAUUUUUCAUCCUAACCCAAAAGAUGAAACAUGGGUACCACUAAUGAACGGGUUUUUGCUACCCAGGGCGCUAAACCCUUGCCUCGAUCCUCAACCGCCUCGCUCGGGCCCGGAUCUAAAAAAUGGUGGAGUGAGAACUACAAAAAGUUUCUAGUGGGUUCGACCGCCGAUCCCGCCGACUUUUUCACUAGGUCUAACCAGGCAUAAGUAAAAGAGAACAUAUAGAUAGAUAGCCAUUUCUAAUCAAAUGCAGUUACUAUGCCUGAACAAGAAUAAUAAACCUACAUAUAUAUGAUGCUCAUGAUGCAUGCCAAUUGCCAUUAUCAAUACCCAAUCCUCUUGGCCAUCCCGUAGGUUUAGCCCUAAAAUUCACCAACCAAAUCCCUACAAUCGAGAAGAUACUCGCUACGACCCAACGGGACCGUCUUCUGGGGAGAUACUCGCUACGACCAAGUGAUUGAUGACUAUUCCGGAGCUCAACGCUCGAGAGGGAGCGACCGCCCUCAAGUAUAAGACUAUAGAUGAGUAUGAUCCAAUCCACAACUAUAAGGAUGCCAUAUCCACUAAUGCCACAACACACAAAGUGUUCAAUUUACUAGCAUUCAAUGCCACAAGAUGCUAUUUCAAUCAUUUGUCACAAUGUCACCAUAUUUUCUACCUUGGCUAAGUUCAUGUCUCAAUUCAUACAUCUAUAGGAUUCACAAGUGUCCAAUAUUCCAUUGCUAAUUCAUAUGCAUCUUUAUACUAAAAGCAUGUAAGAAAUAGCAAUAUAUUACCAUUUAACCCUACAAUGCAUAAAUCCUACAUAUACACAUACAUGCUCAAAUGGUGACUUAGACAUAAAGAGAAAUCCAACUGAUUCGGAUAGCACCACCCACCUUGUAGGGAUGCUAGGGUGCUAGAAUCUGAAUUUUUCGAUUUAUGAUCGCCGCUUUCCCCCGACCCACGAUAAACGAAGUCGAAACAAAAUUUUUCCUAAAUAUCUCGACGUAGACCUACCGGAAUUCCAAUCCAAGUCUCCCAACGCGUCAGUUUAUACUCCAAUUAUAGGGCUACAAGAGAUCAAAUCUAAGUUAGAUCUCAAAUUUAGCUAAACGCCAUUUUGACCCUAGGGUUUCCACAAUCAACAAAUACCCAAUUUUCUUGGAGAUUGUUAGUUUAUCCAAGCAUAUCAUCUUCUAGAAAUCACAACUAGAAGAGAUUUAGCCAAACCCUAACUCAUAAUCACUUGAACUCAUCUCAAGUUCAAGCCAUAGUUAGUUAAUUCGCGAAUUAUUCGCGAAUUUUUGGAAAAGCGAAUUAAACGGCCGCAUCAGUAUUUUUCGGAAAAAUUCGAAAAAAAAACGCAUUUUUUUCGUCAAAAAUAAUUAUUCGCGAAUGAUUCGCCUCAAAAAAAUGGGGCUGGUGGUCGCUCACUCGCGGAUCGCGGCUUCGCCGAAGUCGUCCGUGUCGUAGUCCUCCUCCUCCUCCGUCAUCUCGUGGACAAAUUAGUCUUCGUUUUCCGCUUCAUUUAAGCGGAAAAAGAAAAGCUACAGGAAAAAUGGCGGGAUUCAUGCUGCGGGGCUCAUGCCAUUAUGCACGCGGUCCACGAGGUGGGCUUCACCUCGUGGACCGCCUGAGAGAGAGAGGUCCACUGGACCUCUCUCUCUUUGAUAUAUAUAUACUAUAUAUAUAUAUAUAUAUAUAUAUAUAUAUUAUUUUUUAUAUAAUUCAUUAUUAUUAAUAUAUUUUAGAUAUAUUUUAUUUUAAUAAAUAUAAAGUAUAAUAAUUAAAUAUAUUAUGUGAACCUUCUAUAUUUUAUAUUUAAUAUAGAUUAUCUUAAUCUCUUAUUUGCUUAAUUAUUUAUUUAUUUUGGGACGUAAUAUAGUUUGCUAUUUUUUUUUUACUUAAUUGCUUAAUUUUGUAGCUAUUUAUUCUUAUAUUUUAAAAAAUAUCAGUAUUUAUGCUAAUAGCAUCAAUCUUGAGAGAAAAAAAAUUAAUUUAAUAGGCCGAUUUUUUAUCCCGAAUUUUAAUUGGUGAAACGGUUAUAAUACGGGGUUUUAUUUAUUUAUUAAUUCGUUUAUGUUUUUUAGCCGUAUUUUUCAACGAAUUUAAAAAUUAGAAGACGAAUUUUAUCCGAAUUAUAUCCGUACCGAAUUUAUGCCGAAUCCGAAUUAACUAACUAUGGUUCAAGCUUCCUCCUCAACUCCUUGCACAAGAACCAAGCAUCACUUCCAACAAGUCUUCUUCUUCUCCAGACUCCACCUUUGGAGUAAACGUACCCUAGAGAGAGGAAGAGAGAAAGAGAGAGAGAAGAGAGUGAGAGAAGGUUUUAGAGAGAGAGAGCUUUUCUUCUCUUUGUUCUCAUAUGAGGGGAAUGGGACUUAGGGCUUAAAACUUAUACAAGAAGCCUUCCCCAUGACAAUUGCACUUAAGCCCCUAACAAAAAUACCAUUCUGGACCACCCAGACUUUCUGCGUGUAUGGGGUUCGGACCCUGCACUUAGGGUCCGGACCCUAAGAGCAAAUUUCCACAUUUCGCAAUUAGGGUCCAGACCUUGCUACCAGGGUCCGGACCCCGAGAGCAAAACACGCUCAAAUAAUUCCAAUUUUUCUAGAUUUUGCUCUCCAAGGUCCCCGCACCCUAUCCAAACCAUUCCGAAAUAUUCGGAACGUCUCAUGUGCCUCACCAUCUAGUCCAACACCACACUUCUAUCAAUUUGAUUAAAGUUCGGUACAACCUAUCGAAGUUUCGCUAUAUUCCAUAAACCAAGUCAACAAAAUACUUUUUCCUAAUCUUGGAUAUAAGGAUAUAACAAGUAGGGGCGUCAACGAGCCGAACACGCCCUGGGGCCGGCUCGUGUUCGGCUCAUUUAAUAAAUGAGCCGAACACGAGCUGAUUCGUUAAAGUAUCGAGUCAAAAAAUUCAGCUUGUGUUUGGCUCGCCAAUAAACAAGCCGAACACGAGCUAACCAAUAAAUAAUAGAUUAAAAAGAUUAGAUUGGAUAUAUAUAAAAACUAAAUUUAUAAAAUCAUAUCCAUUAGACUUUAAUCUAAUGGUUGAAACUUUACAUAUAAAUAAGUCUUUUUAUAAUUGAAUUUUGGCUUUAUAUUUUUAUUUUGCUAAAAAUUAAAUAAUAAAAAAAAAUAUAUUAUAUAUAUAAUUAUUUAUUUAUAUAUAUAAAUAUAUAAAUAUAAAUUAAAUAAAUUAUAUAAAUAUAAAAUAUAUGUAUUCGAGCUGUUAUCGAGCCGAACAUGAGCGAGCUAGACCCGACUCGUGUUCGGCUCAUUUAUUAAACGAGCAUGACCCAAAAAUAAGAGGUUCGAGCCUCUGGCUUCUCAAGUAGGCUUUAUUUAUAGAGUCAGUACAAGGAUAGUCUUGCCGUUAGAAUUCUAGAUACGAACUCAAAUAAAAUAAUUGCCGAACUGAACCAGGACUAAAAGUGAUUUUGAGCUCAAAAAUAAUUUUCGGUUUAAUAGAGUAUUUGACGAUCUCUUUUUCAAAUUUUGAUUCUAAUUUUUAAAAUUAGUUUUCUGAUUUUCGAGGUUCCAAAAUCAGAGGUUGCUAGAAUAUUCUUCUUAAAAUUUGAUUUUGAAUUUGGACUGAAAUUUAAAAUUUUAUUUUAAGUUUAGAUCCAAAUUGUAAAUUUUAAAUUUAAAUUUUAUAUUUGAAUUUUUUUUAGUUUUAAAUUUUAACUCUUAAAUUUUAAAUUUCAAAAUUUUAAAUUUUAAAAUUCAAAUUUUAAAUUUUUAAAAUUUUAAAUUUAAUUUGAAAUUUCAAAAUUUAAAUUUUUAGUUAUAAAUUUUAAAUAUUCAAAUUUUAAGUUUUUAAUUUUCAAAUUUCAAAUAUAGAUUUUUAAUUUGAAGUAAAAAAUUUAAAAUUUAAAAUUUGAAAUUAAAAUUUAAAAUUUUCAAACUUCAAAUUUUAAAUUUCAAAUUUAUAUUUUAAUUUAAGAUAUCAAAUUUUAAAUUUUUGUGCAAAUUUAAAAUUUAUAUUUUAAAUUUAAAUUCAAAUUUAAAAAUAAAAUUUAUUAAAAAAUUAUUAUUUGCAAACAUCAAAAAAUUUUGCCAAACAGUUUUACGAAUUCAAUUUAGAAAAUCACUUUCUGUCUGAACCCAGUCAAAUAUUAUACAGUUUUUUAACCAAAAUUAAUUUUUCAAAUCAAAAUCAAUUUUACAGAAAUUAUUUUUCUAGAAUUUAGGGAAGACAGCAUCUUCCCUAGUCCAGCAUCUUUUGUUCUUUCGUUUUCUUUUUCUUUUUCUUUUUUUUUUGUUAACUUUUGUUGAAUCGCAGUAGGUUUCGUGCAAACUCUGGUUGUGGGCAAAUUCUAAGAUAGUGACAGUAACUGUAGGUAGAGAUGCAAAUGGAUUCAAGUUGGUGGAGCCCUAACUUUGAUUUGCUCUGAAUAAGCAGUAAGCCAGUAAGCGAAGAUCAAUAAACAGAUUCGGAACACUAAAAAGAGGCAUCUUUAUAACCCAAAAUUGAUUGGGGGGAUAGGAGAUGGUAAAAAAAUUAGUUCGCCAUGAACCAGACCUAAAUCCGCCUUGCCAAGCCCUAUCUCGAAUCCGUUGCAAAUAAGUAUUUAAAGUAUCAGACAACUUUUAAUUAUUUAGAAGGAAAAUACUAUCUUCGCAUCCCUUAUAGAGGUGUACAUUUUAUACCCUUAGAUCUAAUUGUUGAUACAACCUCUUUGAAUUUUUAGUAUUAAAAAUAAAAACUUCUAAGACAAGUAGGUUAAAGAUUUACACCUGCUUAUAGAGUAUAUGGAUAGCAUUUCUCCUUUUAAGAAUAUUACUCGAGUAUUAAAUAUCGGUUAUUUCUAAAAUAAAUGUGAUUUAAGAGUGAGUUUCUUUUAUAGUACUUUCAUUAUUUCUAAGUUUUAUGUUAAUUAAAAUAGUUAAAAAUUAAUUAAAUGUAAUUUAAGUUUGAAUAAAAAGUAAAAAAAUUGGUUGGCAACCCGGAUUCGGAUAUCAGCAAGAAGCGAGUAGAUUUAUAAAACAUAGAUUUGAUCCUGUCACAAAGGCGGGAUGAGGAGUGGGAUGGAUUCGGUGUUAGCAAGGCAGGAGCGAGGCACAGAAAUCUCUAUGCGGCAUGGAUUUGGGGUAUUAGCAGGAAGCAAAUUUAUAAGCGGGUAGGAUUAUGAAACAUAUAUUCUACUAUGUCAGAAAGACUGAGCUAAAAGUGGGAUCGAUUUGGUAUUAACAAUAUAGUUGCAAUUCCAUGCAACCAAACAUUUCCUCAGAUAACUCAGAUAAAUUGAAGUUUACUUCUGACAAAUCUUAUCCAUUUUGUUUUAUCCAUAAUACUGGGGAAAGAGACAAGGGGAGUGGUCCAAAUCCAACUAUGAAAUAAUGCUUGUAGAUACAUUUGGAUGGAAAUUAUUAUUGGUUUUUACUGUUAAUGGUUUGAAACUAGAAAUUGGAUGUGGGCAGGCAGAUCCGACCAGGCCAUCACAUGAACUGGACAAGACAGAGUCAUGUGGGCAGAAAGUUUUGCGGUCUAGUAGUGCUCCAUUUGCUUUCUAUUUGUCUCUUUAUGUGUAAGAAAUAUUAUUGGGCUGCAUUUCUAUAUUUGUCUCUUAAGUGUACAUAAAUGUAGAUGUGAUAUAUGGAUUGGUAAUUUUUUAGGUAAAAUGUGUUAUUCUAAAAUUAUGGUUCGAUAUAAUUUGUUAGAAUUCUAUUGGAAAAAGAUUUUUAAAAUUGGACUGAUAUCGAUUUAGAUCGAGCUAAUUAGAAAAGUAGAAUUGAGAUUUUGAAUAUAGAGACUAUAAAUAAGAGCGGAGUCAAAAAGAAACAUAUGAUAGUAUUACAAUUCUUUUAACAUUUUAGAAAAAUGAUAUGUAACUCAACAAAGAGAAAUUGGCAUGGAAUAAAGAAAGAGAUAUAAUAUAUAACAUGCACGGUGUAGAGAGACAAUUUUUUAUGGCUUUUUUUUUUUUUUUGCAUUUAGCCUCCUAAAAAUUUUUUUUUUCAUAAAUAGUUUUAUAAAAUUUAUAAUUGCAAAAUUGGUCUUAUUCUCGCAAAUUAAUUUCUUAGGAGAACUUCAAAUACCACCCUUGUGGUUUGGCAGUUUCUCACUUUAAUAUCCUGUGGUUUAAAGUGUAUCAUUUUCGUACUAUGUGGUUUUAUAUUUUUUUUUUGUUAUCCACUUCACUAAUUUAUUUUGUUAAACCAGUGGCAAAGAUAAAAUCAAAAGAUACUAAUAUAAAUAUUCGAUAAACUAAAGGUGGGGUAUCUGAAAUUUUUUGUAUAUGAUUUAAAAAAAAAAUAACAGGGGUGGCGAAAAGAGAAAAAUGAAAUCACAUGAUACUAAAAUAAUACACUUUAAACCACAAAUUACUAAAAUGAAAAAGUACGAAAUCGGGAAUAAUAUUUAAAAUUUAGUUUUCUCUUAAAUUGAGUUUACUCAUCCGAUCAUAACUAUUAAAAAAAUAUUUUUAUUAAUUUUUUUUAAAAAUAAAUAUAAAUAAUUAAUUAUUAGCGAUGCGAUGCAAGUGUGGUAAAGUAGACCUCCCACUCCAAGAAGACUUGGUUGGUGAGUUUCCCAGUCAAGUUUUUGUUUUUUUUUCCUUUCCGGACGACACGGGUCAGGGGCGGUCGAUGGCUUGACUGGCCUUUUGCGUCAACCAAUGGAAAGGAAGGAACAAACGUAUGCUUUCUUCAAUAACAAAAAUAAAAAAUAAAAAUAAAAAUGUAUAGGUAGUGAAUCUUCGCUUCACUUCAGCGAGUCGUCCCCUUUCCCAAUCUACUACUACUGCCGCCACAUUCUCACUAUUCCACUGCUACCGUGCUGCAAACGUUUUUCAUGGAGGAGGGCGAUAUAGUGGCCACUCAUGGCGUCGACCACUCGUCGUCGUCGUCGUCGUCCUCCUCUCUUCUCAGACUCAUUUCGCCAUCAAAAGGUCCUUCUCUUCUCUCUCUCUCUCUCUCUCUCUCUCUUUUCUGUUUAUGUUUUUUUUUGGGGGGGGGGGGGGGGAUUUUUCUGCGUUCGAGCUCGAUCGAUGAGCGAUUGGUUGAUUGGAAGCAAAAAUUCGACCAUCCUUUUCUUUUUUUUUUUUGUUUUGGUUUAUUGUUAAUGCUAUUUCUGAGCUGUAAUUAUGAUAUCGGAGUCUGGAGUAGAGCUACUAUAGAGCUACUAUGCUAUCGGAAGAGUAAAGGAUCCGGUGCUUCCGACUUUUUAGCCUUAGAUUAACCUCAUUUCUAACUUUUGGAUUAAUACCGUCACCCUGUGGGGGACUACUCAACCGCAGGGAUACUGUUCAACUCUAAGGGACCGCAAUCAUUCUAACCGUACAAUUCUUGAUCAAAGAAUCAAAAAGUCAGAAGCAUCAAAUUCUCUAUACUUCCGAUAGUAUAGUUGCUCUACACUCAGAGUUAGUUCUAAAAUCCUUCUGUUUAUCUCUUACUCUUCGCGUCGCGGCUUUCGUAUCCAUUAUGAUGUAUGUGAAAGGUGAUGUUGACGCUAUUUCAUGCUCAUUUUUUAUCAGAUCGAUCUUUUUGGAUAAUAGCGAUUUGCAUUAAUGUAUAAUAUCGGCAACAUUUUUUUAAUCACGAAUUCUAGUGUACGAGGUAAAUUUAUAUAUAUAAAAAAUUCUUUGGUAAUUUGUGGUUAGAUAGGGCUAUUACUUGGGUGACACUUUUAUAUAUGAGAUAUAAUAGUGCUAAAUUUUUUAACCCAAGUAUAGUAUUUUGGAAGGUGACUAGAUCUUAAAGAUUAAAAGAGUUGGGCGUAUUAAGGCUAGAGUAGUAAUAGGAUGUGGGUGACCCCCUGGGAAGUGGGGCGUCACAGCUUACCUACACGUUUAGUUAUUUAGGCAGAAUUUGUAUGCCGACAGUGAUAUGUGGAGAAUUUGUUUGAAGAGAAUGCUUUGUAGUAAUGUUUCCAUGCUAUAUACUUCUGAGGAUUUGAUUUUUCCUGUGUUAUUGGUUUGUUGCAUUAACAGGACAAAAAAAAAAGAAAAAGAGAAAAACAUCAUUUUCCUUAUUAUCGAGUGUCUCAAAAUAAAUGGUUUUCCAGAGUUCAACAAUUUCAGAUCAGGAUAGCUAUUGGAAUUGUUAAUUUGGAGACCUUUUGAUUACUAGGUAAGUAAUGUCGAAUGCUCAUUAAAUUUAGUUACUUUGAUAGUACUUGUGAUACUCUAGAUCAUGUCUACAGUAUUUAUCAAUCGAUUUAAACGCGCGAAGCCUCUGAGCUUGCGAAAGCACUCCGGUACAUCUCACUAACACUAAGCACAAGCUAAAUAUGUUGCUAUUUGCUUCAGUGUCUUCUUAAGACCGGAAAGUCGAUAUGUUCCGAACUACUAAUUUGGAUGGCAAUGUAGCAUGAUUUUUUCAAGGUUUAUAGUUUCAAGAUCGAAAGAAUAUGCAUACUAAACUCAUCAAGAAAACACAUCUUAUCAAAGUAUCCGAAUCUGUCGGACGAGGGAGUCUACUUGAUUAAGGAAAUUUGACUCAUCUUCUGAUACGGGAAGUGCAAUAUCCGAUAUGAUAUUUGAGUGCUUCACAAAUGUGCUAACUAAAUCACUUAUAGAUUUGUAAAGCUUCUCAGAUGUUCUAUUCGAUUUUGUUUCUGGAGCAUGAAGAUAACCUUUAGAAUGUCUUCUUCAGAUUGAACAUCUGAACCUACAACGGAUUGACGAAGGAGUUCUUUACGUGGAUCCUACUAGUAUGGAUACAAGUUGUGCUCUUCAAGUGCCAGCCAUAAGUGCUUCUUCCAAGUGCAGUUCUUCUUCUGCUGCCUUUUCUCGUGGAUUGAGCUUCAAGAGUACAACAGUCGUAAAUGACGGGGAGAGAAGCUCCCUUCUAAGUCCAGAACUUGCUGGAAAACCGGAGAGUAGGUCAUGCACUGAAACUACUGCGAUUGUAAAUAUAAUUUCCACAUUCUCAUGGAAAAGAUGCGCAUCUCUUCCUGCUUCACCAUCAUCAAGCUUGUCUCCUACAUCAAAGUGUGCUAAAGAGAAGAUAUUUGAUGAUCAGCCGACGUCCCAGGUGAUAUUAUCUAUUUUAGUACUGUCGUUUGUUACCAACUAGCGUGCUUCAUGUUUCUACUCAUCUCUAUGUUGCGUGUCAUCCAAGCUUGUCUCCUUACUGUCUAAUGUUGUAUAGAAUGCAAAUCAUUCAUCUACUGGCUGACUAACACCCCCAGAAUGAGUCAAACGUAUCGACAACAUUUAUUUGGACCAAGGUUUUAAGUGCUCGUUGGCACGGGCCGUAUCUACUGUGCCGUACCGUGCCAACAAGAUACUGGCACGAUACAAAUCCCGUACCGAUGACACAGCUCAAAACCCUCUAUUCUUUAAAUUAGUAAGUAAUUUCCUCAAUAAAGUUCAAAAGAUGUGAUAAAAAGACAUAAUAAAUAGUUAGAAUAUUUUAUUGCUAAAGAAAAUAAAUAUUUCAUGCUAUUAUGUGUCGGCACCUAAGAAUUUUUUUGACCGGCACGGCUCGGCACGCACCGUGCCGGCAAGUUUCCGGCACGACCCCGUGCCACGGCACUUAAAUCCUUGAUUUGGACUAAUUGAUUUAGUUGCGUCAUUUGUUCUUAACAUAACAGAGAAGUGCAUAACUUAAAUAAUUUCGGAUUUAACUUUUUUCAAGUAUCUAAUAUACUCUUUAAUAGGUUUAAGCUUGAUAUGUUUUUUUCUCCCUAUAAACUUACAGUUUUUAGCAAAAUAAAUUGCAGAAACGAACAGUUCAAACACAUGUUUCACGAUCCUUGUCUCUACCAUUGCGAAAUAUUGUUAUUGUAAGAUCUGGAUCUUUACCUACACAAAAACAGGUUACACCAGAACAUCCUCAAAACGGUAAUCUUCUUCUUUUUCUUUUUCUGUUUUUGUUUGUUUUGUUUGUUUAAGACGUUGGCUUUAGCAGUGUAAGAAUAUAAUGAGUUUCAUCUUGUUUUUUUUUUUUGAAAAUCAGGUCACUUAAAUGCUGCUGCACAUUCGGAUGAUAAUGAUGAGGAGAUUCCGGAAGAAGAAGCAGUUUGCAGAAUAUGUUUAAUCGGGUUGAAUGAAGGAGGGAGUUCGCUUAAAAUGGAAUGCAGUUGCAAAGGCGCUCUAAGGCUCACGCACGAAGAAUGUGCAGUAAAAUGGUUUAGCAUAAGAGGCAACAAGAAAUGUGAAGUGUGCGGCCAAGAGGUUCUUAAUCUACCAGUAACAUUGUUACGGAUGCAGAGUUCCUCUCCAAGGGGUGGUGCUCAACAACAACACCUAAUACAGAACCCAAACUCGCCAUUGACGAGGUAAAAAGUCGCAUACAGUGCGACAUAAUUAUCGCACUAUGUGAAUUUUACAAUAUUUUGUGAGUGUUUUCUUAGACCAUAUAACAUUAUUUUGUUUUCUCUUUGGCAGAACCGGGCAUGAUGUGGUUGUGUUGAUCUUGAUAAGUACGAUGUGUUACUUCUUCUUCCUCGAACAGCUACUGGUAUGAUAACUCAGAUUACAAAACAAGAAAGAACUCCGAAGGACAUAACCUUUCUAUGUGAAGUUAUGAGUGAUAUAUUAUUCUUAAAAUACACUGCUUAAACUAUCUUCUGAAUAUGGGUCAUGCAUAUAUUCUUUUGGUUUGCUCUAACAAGGAAAUUUUCGGCAGUUGAUUAAUUAUACUAAGCAAAAGAACCAAAGUAGAAGAUAAUGUCUUUUAGGAAAUUUAGGAUCUGUAGAUACCAAUUAAUGGUUCUUAUUUUUCGUAUACUCUUGUGAUCUGUGCUAAUCAGAUUAAACCUUCAGUUAGUGUUAAUAGCGCCGCACUUCUUCACAUACAAGUACAUGCGCUUGCAUCUUGCUUCUGCAUCAAGUUGCCAUUGUGUAUUGACCUGCCUGAAAGUCCGAAUAGCUAAUAUUGUAGUAAUUUUUUUUUUUAUUUCAUUUGGAUUUUGAACUACUAAUUAUCCAUUUAAAGUAUAAAAUCAUUGUUGUUUAUGUCAUCAGUGUACGCUUUUACUUCUUAAUCUCUAUGAUGUUAAUGGCUUGAUAAGCUGUUUCUCUUCUAUAAUAGGUCGAUACGAUGAGAACUCGUGCCGUUGUGAUUGCUGCUCCAUUUUCCUUGACACUUGGCCUUUUGGGAUCAUUUUUUUCAGUUGUCGUCGGUAAUUAAUUACAUAAGAAAUUACUGUUUUGAUCGAUGGAGUUCAAUUUAGUUCUUCGGUCUCAAUCUAUUUGCUUAAUGCAGCAUGCAGGGAGUAUGCUUGGGCCUAUUCAGCCCUUCAAUUCUCACUUGUCGUCAUAUUUCUCCAUCUCUUCUAUUCUGUGGUGAGUAAUUCGAUUACAUAUCAUAGUAAUAAAUUGUUUCUAGUGUCUUCCUCUGUGUUUAUAAAAGUAAACUAGGUUCAAAAUUAUCAGCAAAUUUGUAUCUAAAAUAUCAGUUUCUGAUGCUCCUAAAAUGGUUCUCAGUAGUUUAUCCUACUUAUAAGUGCGAAACAAGUCAGACUCUUCGUAGUCCUACCUCACAAUGCUACCUUUAAACUAUUUGGUUUAUCCAAUAACUUGCAUUUAAGGUCCUCGGAAUUACACCUUUGAACUACUGACUCAACUUGAUUGGAAGUGGCAGUAUGAUGUCUGAAACAACCAAACUAACGAGCUCAUGCUUGCAGUAGUAAACUACUAAAUUUUUGGCAUUUUGCUCGUAGAUGAUCACCUUGUUACAUCACAUGUACAAGAAAUAUAUGCGCUGCAUGAAACUGCACAUAUGUAGGCAGAAACAAAACCGAGUAAAUUUCUUUAGCAUAUCUAAGCAGUAACAAGUGGAACCGAAUCGAUUUAGGCGGUCUGUUUACGGUUUAUUACCAAUUCAUCAAUCAAUCUUGUCGCACAUAUUUCGAUUUUAACGAAGCUAACUGGUCUGUUGGCUCGGUUUUCUGCUUAACCAAAUGCACGCGCAAGUAUGCUAGCAUGAAAUCACUUGGUUGCCUCUUUGCAUAUUUAUUCUUAGUUAUUUCAUUAAUUGUCGAUCAUUUGUGACUACUCUUUCCUGAUUUUCGCCUCCAUAGUUUCAUCCGGUGCUUUUCACAUUGAAUCUUUAUAGAAAACAAUCAACUUUGAGUAUGUUGUUUAUUUCAUUGAGCAACUUUUUAUCAUCGUUUCUGCACAUUUCAUUACCGUUUCUGGGGGAGAAAAGGUUUCGAGAAAAAUCUAUGUAAUUCGAAGAACGAGUUUUUGCUGACGACAGCAAAAAGAUGUUUGUUCAAAUGAGAAUUCGUUCCGAACACAGCCAUGUAAUUGAUCAGUAAUCGCAGAACCUCUCUGUUUCCUCUCUAACAGUUUUCUCUCUUCUUCCUUGCAGCUUCAGGUAAAAGUGAUUUUCGCAAUUCUUUUAGCUGCGUUCGCAGGAUUCGGCCUUGCGAUGGGAAUCAACUCAUUGUGUCUUCAAUUCUUUUCUUGGAGAUUUCGAACUAUUCAAGCACAGAUGAAUGCAAGCCCAGCAUAAAAAAAAAAAAAAACAAAGAUGGAAAAUCUGCAAAUCUUUGUAUUAUAUGUAUUGUAAUCAUAUCCCAUCACGCAUUAAUUUGGUUAAACAUUUGAUAUAUAUAUAUAUACACUCUUUUCUUUCCAUAUUCAAAAUGAGUCUGAAAACACGAAAUCAGAUGAUCAUAAACAGUUGUUUGCCGUGCGCAUUCAUAUUGAUUCUUUUUUUCCGAGCAAAUUUCUUGUUGUUGGUUCAGAUAAAUAUCAAUUAAAUGCUGGUUUGUUUGAAAAGAAAUUAAUCUGUUUGAGGACAAUAUUUAUAAAAAAGUUGAAUUUUCUCUUGUAAAUUGCAUGGAAAUGAAUAUUUCCUACUCUAUGCUGAUAUCAUAAUUUUGGAGAAGCAAAUUUUCUACAACCCAGUAGGUAAGAUUUUCUAUACACAAGGUUUAUCUAGCCGUUGGUUUUUAGUAUAAUUAAUCUGUGCAUGGAUUAAUCCAACUAAAAUCCGACGGUGGAAUCAAUCCCAUGCGUAGCGAAUCCUACGAACGGGAUUGUAUCCAAUUCGAACACUUGUUCGUAAAACACUUAAAGUGAACUUUCACAUAUGUUCCAAUUCGAACGGGAUUGUAUCCAAUCCUUUUGAAAUUUUCAGAUCUUUUAAAAUAUAAAAUUAGGUGCUUUUGGAAAUGCAUUAUUAAAUUAGACCUAGGAAGCGCAAUAAUAAUAUGUUUAAAGGAUUAGGGAUUACAUUGCUUUAAAAGUGAAAAGAGGAUACAAUGGAAAGGUAGUAAUCCUAUAUCAUCGACCGCCCUUAGGGGCUAUUUGGUUGGAUGUAGUUAUAAAAACAAUGUAGUUGGAAAUACAUAUAGUUGUAAAUGCUGCAGUCAUAACUACACCUACUUUAUUUGAUUUUAUGCAGUUGUAACUGCUGCAGUUAUAUUUCUUAUGUUUGGUAGUUUGCACUUGAGAUUUGUAUUUAUAAAUUCUAUCAAUUUUUAAAUAGAAAAUGUGAGAUUACCUCUUCUGAGCAUAAUAAUAUAAAAUUAUGUAUGAAUUUAAUAAAUUUUAAAUGUAAAUAUAUUAUAAAUUUGGUCAAAAUAAAAAUUAAGAUAUUAUUCAAUUAGCAGACUGGAAACUAAGAAGUGUAUAAAAAAAAUUUAUUAACCCUAACAGACAUUACUAAAUCGUAUUAGAUUUCAUGAAUAUAUAUUUUUGAGAAAAAAAAUAAAAAAAAAAGCGUAUGAAAAAAAAAAUCACACUUUGUUUAUAUUUUUAAUGAGCAAGCCGACUUCGGCUCACCUGCUGCAGUUGGUACUGCAGCCAAUUUGGCUGUAGUACCAACUGCUACGGUUAGGUCUUUUCGUGCAGAUGCAACUACAGCAGUUGGACUUAACUAUACCAAACCAAACAAAAAAUUUAUAGAUGCAUGCAUUUUCAACUACAAUGCAGUUGAAAAUGCAUGCAACCAAACAACCCCUUAGCGCAGUUGAGGACCUGAGGUAUCAAAUUUGAAGCUUGGCUGUUUUAUAUUUCUAGUUUAGUUUAUUUAAAAAAAUUGAACAAAGCGGAUAAAUAAAAUACUGAAGUAUUUUUUACAUUAUUUUUAAAUACUAAUUCUGUAUAAUUUGAUAGAUCGGCAAAAGGACAUGACUGGUGAAUAAAUGACAACUUUUAGAAAAUAUCAGAACUGAGAAAAGGUUAAAUAUAAAUUUUUAUUAUUUUUUUAAUUACUAUCCUACACAACUCAUAAAUGUUCUUUUCAAGAAAAAAGAAGGGACAAUAAUAACAAACGAAGUACAAAAUAGGGCUUUUUUUAUAAAUAACCCCCCGAGUAAUUUUUAUUUUAAAAAUUGCACUAUUAAAAUUAAAAUUGCAAAAAUGGCGCUGUCCCUGCCACACAGGCGCCACGUCAGCGCCAUGCGGGCAGGACUGGGGUCAGGUAUUAAGUUGAACACGGUGAAUAAUUCACCGUGUCUAAACACGGUGAAUGGUUUACCGUGUUUUUUACGUAUUUUUUGUAUAUUGAAAAGUGAAAUAAGGAGUGGGGAUGUCAAUAGAUAUGGAUAUCCGAUAUAUUAUCCGAAUCCAAACCCGAAUAAAUUAUAUAUAUAUAUACGUAAUUUAUUUUUAUUUAUCUAUACAAUAUAUAAAAUAUUGUAUAAAUAUUAAACCGUUGGAUGAAGAUCUAAGGAAUACAAAUUAUUAAAUAUUUUAUAUAUUGUAUAAAUAAACAAAAAUAAAUUAUGUAUAUAUAUAUAUAUAUAUAUAUAUAUAUAUAUAUAUAUAUAUAUAUAUAAAAUUUAUUCGGGUUUGGAUUCGGAUAAUAUUUUGAAUAUCCAUACCUAUUGACAUCCCUACUUCUUAUUCCAUUUUUCAAUAUACGUAACAAAAAAUACGUACUAAACACGGUGAAUCAUUCACCGUGUUCAACUACGGUAAAUGGUUCACCAUGUUCAACUUAACACACGGGUCCAGCCCUGCCCGCGUGGCGCUGACGUGGCGCCUGCGUGGCAGGCCCAGGGCCAUUUUUGCAAAUUAAAUUUUGACAGGGCUAUUUUUAAAAUAAAAAUUUGUCAGGGGUCUAAAUGCAAAAAAAGCCCUACAAAAUAUUAUACGCACGCACGAAGCCUCGAAUCAUCCAAACUCUGAUUAGAUAUCGAUUAUGAUUUGGUUUAAUCAGUCUCACGCCACUUCGAAUAUGACUCGGCCAAUCCAGCCUCUCGCCACAGGACUGGAUGUUGACCUCUUUAAGUCAACACACUAGAUUUUAAAAAAAAAAUUGAAUAAAAAAAGGCUCUAAUAAUAGCAAAUAUUUUUUUGGAUUUAACAAGUUAUUUGUACUAGCGAGCUAGGUCUCUACGAUUGGCUUUGUAUAUUGCGCGGGUAAAUUAUUAUUCUAAAAUUUCAUAUAAUACAAUUAAAAUAAAACAUUAUUAGAAAUGUACAGGGCAUUUGGUCUAGUGGUAUGAUUCUCGCUUUGGGUGCGAGAGGUCCCGAGUUCGAUUCUCGGAAUGCCCCUCAAAACUUUGAGCCUUUUUUAUAUUUUCUUUUUAAUCUAUUACUAUUUAGUGUGGAUAUUUUUUCUUAUUUUUUAUUUAGAGUGGAUAUAUAUAGUAUAUAUUAUAUAAUAAUUAAUUAUUUUAUUAUCUAUUACAAUCUAGUGUGGAUAUUUAUUUUUUAUCUUUUUUUAUCUAUUACUAUUUAGUGUAGAUAUUUUUUUAUUUUUUAUUUUUAACUUUAAAACAAUGAAGUUGCUUAGUGUCUAUAAUAAUAAUAAUAAUAAUAAUAAUAAUAAUAAUGAGUAUAAUUUGUAGUAAAUAACAAUAAUAUAGUAUGUAUCUGAUUAUUUUUUCAGAAUACGUAAAUUUUUACUAUUAUUUCUAUCCACUACAUUGCGCAGGUUUCCACACUAGUAUUAUUUUAGAGAAAAAGUACAGGUGGGGUGGUUUUAAAAGCAAAGAGGUUCUGUAAAGUAAUUUUUGAUGAUAAAAUAUUCAAAUUAGCGAUUGACUCUGCUAGACCUGCUUUAGAGUAUGUUAAUUAAUUUAGAAAAUAAAUUUAUAAAUUUUUAAUAUCAGUUAUCUACUGAUCCGGAGAGUUCAAAAUUAAUGAUUAAUAAAAAUCUCACCAAAAAAAUGAUGACGCUAUUAAAAAAUCUCACCAAAAAAAUGAUGACACAAUAUUAAAAUUUUAGAUUAAAAAUAUUGACCUUGCUUUAAGAUAGUAUAAAAAAAUUUUCUAUCAAAACUUUGUAGAAUUAUUAAAAAAAAUUCUUUUCAUCGUUAAAAAAUGAGUUAUUUUACAAAUAAGGGCAUUAUUUUUGAAGAAAUUAUUUCUAAUCAAACACGAUUUUAGACGGGAGCAAAUCCAGAAAUUAAAUAUUUUUCAUAAAAAGACUGGACUGAAAAUAUGAAUCACUUCGAAUUUAGGAACUUGGAACUUUGAUAACAAUCAUCAAACUCUUAGCCAACUAUACCAAGCACGGUCGAUCACCCACAUAUAUUUUGUUUAGUUGUAUGCAAUAGAAGGCACUCCAACUAGUUGGAACUACGGCGAAUGGCCUCUUCAUGCAGUUCUCAUUGCAGCAAUUGAACUCAAAUAUAUUAUGGCAGAUAUCUGAUUUGGAUCUGAGUAAAGUUACAACUGUACUAGAGUUACAACUAUGCUUAAUCUAACAUCGCCUAAUCAUAAAGAGCAACACUAUAUAUACACAAAAAAUGGGUGUAAAUCUUACACACUCUCAUUCAAGGUCCCAUGCUAGAUUCUUGUCUUGUUAAUUUGUUUUUAAUAUUAAAAUUUCAAAGAGUUUUUGAAAUCUUAAGAUGAGAUAGGGAUGUUGACAGAUUAGAUCUGGAUCAAAUUUUUAAAAAUUCAAAGCCGAACUUGAGAGAUUUUGAAAAUGUAUAUCAAAAACCGAAUCCAACCAAAAAUCCAAAACAUAAAUUUGAACAUAAAUCCGAACCAAUUAUUUUCCUUCAGGAUAUUUGAAAAUAUUAUUAUAUUAAAAUUUAAAUUUACAAAUUAUAAAUUGAAACAGAACGCCAUACAUACACAUAUAUUAUAUACUUCCUAUGGUAAAAUUUAUUCGCGUUCGGAUUGGGUGCAGACAAAAUUCAUAUUUGAAUCCAAAUUCUUUGAAAUUUUAUUUUAUUUUUAUAUCCAUACCUAUAGUCAUAUCCAUUUAGUAGUGGAUAAACCCGCUUUAUACAGGUUUGGAUUCAUAUAAAAUUUUGAAUAUUCAUGACCAUUGACAUUUCUAUGGUGAGAAGCAAAAUUUAUACUAUUUUUGGAUAUACAAAUAGCAUUUUUCAAUGCCAAAAGUUUUUUUUUUUAGAGAGAAAGAUAGUAUGUUAUCCGCUUCGUUUAUUUUUUAAAAAAAUAAACUUAGGUGGAUGUGAAUUAAUUAGGAUUCAAACUUGGAGCCUCGAGUACUAACAACCAAGUCCUUUGCCACUUGCGCGAGGAACAGCCGAUUUUCUGAAUGUCAAAAGUUAGGUGUGAUUGGUGAUCAUAUAAUGGGUGGAAAAAUUUUAAAAUGCAACACUUACAUUGCUGAUGAGGUGUCCCCAAUCAAUUAAAAAGAUUCUCCGUAAAUUUUAAAAAAAAUAUUUUUAUUAUACUAUUUUUAUCAAUAAAAACAUGAUUGAUAAUAAAUAAAUAAUGGGAUAUAAGUGUUAUAUAGCAGACUUCUUCUAAUGUGACAGGUGUGUACAGGUUGACCACGAGAGCAGACAAUCAUUUUAUAAGGUAACCAAUCCGCCGGCACUAGCAAGAUGAACUUUUAAAGGGCAAUUGUUUAUAUACUUCCGAAAAGUUUUCGACUUUCUGAUUUACCCCUCUUAGAAGGCUAAUAUUGAAAAUGCCUCUUUUACAUUCCAACUUAUUUCAAAUAUGUCUCUAGAGUUAAAAUUUGUUAAUAAACUCUGUUAUCGCUAUAAAAUUACUAUUUUACCCUUUCAAAUAUACCAUUCUUUUAUCACCGACUUUUCUUAUUUACCCUUAAUUUAGAGACACAAAAAGUAUUUUGCUUUUUGGUCUUUUCAAAUAUACCCUUCUACCUAGGGGUGGUAAUCCAGCUCGUCGUUCGCGAGCCAACUCGUAUUCGACUCGAAAUGAGCUCGAGAUUGAAUCGCUCGUUUAAUAAAUGAGCCGAGCACGAGCUGAAAUUUUCAGCUCGUUUAAUAAACGAGCCGAACACAAGCUAGGGUCAGCUCGCUCGUGUUCGGCUCGAUACCAGCUCGAAUACAUAUAUUUUAUAUUUAUAUAUAUAAAUUAAUAAUUAUAUAUGUAUAUAAUACAAAUUUUUAUUAUUUGAUUUUUAACCCAACCUAAAUAAAAAGUCCAACUCAAUUAUAAAAUGAUUAAUUUAUAUGUAAAAUUUUAAUCAUUAGAUCAAAGUCUAACGGAUAAGAUCUUAUAAAUUUAUUUUCUAUAUAUAUUCUUUCUAAUCCUAUUAAAUUCUUAUUCAUAAGUCAACUCGUAUUCGGCUCGAUACUUUGAGUCAGCUUGUGUUCGGCUCGUUUAUGAAACGAGCUCAUAUUAAACGAGCCGAACACGAGCUAUACUCAGCUCGCUCGUAUUUGGCUCUUUAACCCUCCUGCUCCGCUGAAAACUCAAACAGUGACCUCGCCCACACCUCGCCUAGAUGCCUUAUCAGGAAUACUAAUAGCUUGGCUAUCAUUUGUUUUUCGGCUAAAAGUAGCUGAAUUUGUUUUUCUAAUACUUUGGUAUAUGCUUUUGAAAAGUGCUUUCUUCAUUGCUUCUCUUCACCGGUGGGAGCGUGUCUUUUUUCCUUCUUUCUUUUUAUCUUCAGAAAAAAGAGUAUUUUCUCUUUAUCCAUUUAAUUGAGGUGUGAUGAUGAUGCAUUAGUAGUAAAGUAAAACAGGCCAAUUUCUAGUGAUGCAAAAUAUGCUUUCCAUGUUGUCCUUUUCUCAUUGUCAACUCUCAUAUGCAACCCAAUCCAGUGUUCCAACGUUUAACUAUACCAACAUUCUAAAUUCACAUAGCAAAAGGAGAUUUCAUGGGGAAAAAAAAAGAAGCAUAUACACAACUCACUCCCACAUUAACACCAGCAUUUUUACCAAACACUCAUAACAUUUCCCUUUUUUUUCAGAAAAAUAAAAAGAAAGAUGGUAGAUGCUUCGCCAGAUUAUUUUUUUGAGAGAUAGGUAGUACGCUACCUGCUUCGUUUAUUUUAUUAGAAAUAAAUUUAGCUGAAAAUGUGAAUCAACUAGGAUUUGAACUUGAGUCUCGGAUACCAAUCACCGAGCCCUUUGCCACUNGUUUCACACUUUUUCAUUUCAGUACCCUGUGGUUUAAAAUGUAUCAAGUUAGUACCCUGUGGUUUCUCACUUUAUCACUUUAGUAUCCUGUGGUUUAAAGUGUAUCAAGUUAGUACCCAGAGAUUUUGCACUUUAUCAUUUUAGUACCCUAUGGUUUCACACUUUAUCACUUUAGUACUCUAUGAUUUCACACUUUAUCACUUUAGUACUCUAUGAUUUCACACUUUAUCACUUUAGUACUCUAUGAUUUCACACUUUAUCACUUUAGUACCUUGUGGUUUAAAAUGUAUCAAGUUAGUACCCUGUGGUUUUCACAGGGUACUAAAGUGAUAAAGUGCAAAACCACAGGUACUAAUUUGAUACAUUUUAAACCACAUGUAUUAAAGUGAUAAAGUGAGAAACCACAGGGUACUAACUUGAUAUAUUUUAAACUACAGGGUACUAAAGUGAAAAAAAAUUGAAACCAUAAGGGGUUUUUUGAAGUUUUUCCUAAUAUCUAACCACAGUANUCAUUGACCCCCCUACUGCUACCAUUACUAAUAUUUCUUAUUUGCCCUUAAAUUAAGGACAAAAGUGGUAUUUUAAUUUUUUUAAAUUAUAGUAGAUAUUUAACUCAUAUUUAAUUCAAGUUAACUUAACGGAUAGUAACUGUAGGAGCAUUUUGGAAUAACGGUGUAACAUAUGAGAAAUAUAUUAGAAAAAAAAUAAAAAUAAAUGAGAUAUUUUUAAAGUUUUGAGGGGUAUAUAGAUAAUUAUCCCAACUUUUUAAAAUCAUUUUCCCAGCCGCCGGCACUAACAAGAUGCCCUUUUAAUUCUCUCUCCUCCAGUCUGCCCUUCUCCUCUGUCAACCACAAGAAAAAAAAAAGAAAAAGAAAAAGAAAAAGAAAAAAAUUGAAGAAGAUCUUCCUCGCAAUGCUCCUCCGGAUCGCCUCCAGGUGUUUAUUAGCGGUGGUUUCUCUUUUUACUAUUUCAAAAAAAGAAAAGAAAAAGAAAAAGAAAAAGAAAAUAAUUUUAGCUUAUUUUUCAGAUCAUGAGAAGAAAUAAAGAGAAAUUGACUGUUGUUGGAGAAAAUCAAUUUCUCUCCAUUUUUUUUUUAUUUCUCUCGUAAAUUUCAACGUAAAGGAGACAAAAUUAUUUUAGAAAAUUUCUAAAAUAAUUUUAUUGUAGAUUUAAGAAAGAGCAAAUAGAAUAGUGCGUUACUAACACAGAUGCAUAGUUGUUAUCAUAAUAAUUAUGUUCUAUUUUUCCCCUAAUUCUCAUCAUAUGUAAUAUUAGGAAUUUGAGGGGUGUUGGUGUUAAUGAGCUGCUGCAGGGGGAGGCCAAGUUUUUCUCCACCAACUCUAACACAUUGAAAAGGUGAUUCUUUUCUUCUUCUUUUUUUUUGUAUUUUACUUUCUUAUUUUUGGUUUAUGAGUAAGCCAUUAAUGAUAUCUAGGGAAAAUUUCAAAAACCCCCCCUGUGGUUUCACACUUUUUCAUUUCAGUACCCUGUGGUUUAAAAUGUAUCAAGUUAGUACCCUGUGGUUUCUCACUUUAUCACUUUAGUAUCCUGUGGUUUAAAGUGUAUCAAGUUAGUAAUUUGAUACAAAAUUAAAACCACAGGGUACUAAAGUGAAAAAAAAUUGAAACCAUAAGGGGUUUUUUGAAGUUUUUCCUAAUAUCUAACCACAGUAGAUAUUCAAACUUACAAAAUUAUAAAAAAAAAAAAAGAAAAAAGAAAAAAUUGUUUUGUGUUCUGUAUCACGGACGCAGAUAUAAGCCUUGCAUAUCUGUGUCGAACUAGUGUCCUACCAGAAUGCUUCAUGGACGCACGUCCGUAGUGCAUCCUAUUUUUAUUAGUUUUUUUUUUUUUUUUUUUUUUUUAUGUAUUUAAAAAAUAUAUAUAUGAACAAUCAAUGUGAAUUUUAUUAAGACUAAAUUAUAUAAAAUUUUCUUGUCAAAAUCCGAUUUUUUAUUUUUCUCUCACGCCAUUUAAAAACUUACACUUUGUCCCCUUUUAAAAUAAAAAUGGUCACAGAGAGAUAUGGUGUAAACUGUGAUGACAAAAUGACCAUUUUGCCCUUCAGUAUUUUUGACAACAGGAGAGAAGCCUGAGAAUAUUUUUGGCAUAAAAAAUAUAUAAUAAUAUUUUAUAAACGGAAUCCUAACGUAUCACUAACGGCAGGGAAUGAAGUGAACAUUUUUUUAUUUUAUAAGAAGGCAAAGUAUAGAUUUUUAAAUGACAGAAAAAAAAAGUGAAAAAUCGAAUUUUGACAGAAGGAUUUUCUAUAAUUUAGCUUUUUACUAAUACUCAUUCGUAUAAGAAAUAUAGUAUUAUUAUUUUAAUAAAAUUGAUAUUUUAUACAUAGUAUAUACAUAUUUUAUUAUAUUAAUACCGAUGUUGAUGUUGUGCUUGUGUUUUAAUUUUUUUGAAGCUGUCGAAUUAUCGUGUUUGAAUCAUGUUGUGUUCUGUGUAUCAUAUUUGCGUCUGUAACAUUUAGGCACUGCUCGGCAGGCUAGCUGGAAAAGUUGCGGUGAUCACCGGCGCAGCCAGCGGGAUUGGCAAGGCGACCGCCGCCGAAUUCAUAGAAAACGGCGCGAAAGUGAUCCUCGCGGAUGUGCAACACCGCCUCCUCGAGUCGACGGUGACCGAGCUCGGCCCCGACGCCACUUCCGUCCACUGCGACGUCAGAUACGAGCCGCAGGUUGCGGCCGCCAUCGACCUCGCUAUUUCGCGUCACGGCCGGCUCGACAUCGUCUACAACAACGCUGGGAUCGCUGGAUCCCUCGCCCCCUCUAUCGUGGAUCUUGACCUUGACGACUUCGACCAGACAAUGGCGGUCAAUGUCCGGUCGAUGGUCGCAGGGAUCAAGCACGCUGCUCGUGUGAUGAUCCCUCACGGGACCGCUGGGUGCAUACUAUGCACCGCCAGCAUUACAGGCACGUAUAAAACAAUCACUUGUCUCUAAAAACUUGAGCCGUCACGUAACAGAAUUUCACACAUUUUCUAUUCAACAUCAGGCAUCCUCGGCGGCCUUGCGCCGCAUGACUACUCGGUCUCAAAGUCUGCUGUGAUCGGCCUGGUGCGAUCGGCAGCGGCGGAGCUGGGCAGGCACGGGAUCCGGGUGAACUGCAUAUCGCCGCACGCAAUUCCGACGGCGCUGGGCAUCGGCGCGAUGAGGAAGAUAUUUCCGGGGAUUGGAGACGAGCGGCUGGCGGAGAUGACGGACAGCGCCGGAGAGCUGGCGGGGGCGAGAUGCGAGGCGGCCGACGUCGCGAAGGCUGCCGUCUACUUGGCCUCCGACGAGGCCAAGUAUGUGAGCGGGCACAAUCUGGUGGUGGAUGGAGGCUCCACUGUGUUUAAGAGGCUGGACCUGCACCCUUGAUAGAUCCAGUUCACUGUUCAAGUUGCUUUAUUAAGGAUUAAAAACGCUUUUCAAUUGUUUGGAGCAUUUUAUAUUAUGAAAAAAAUAAUACUUUUAGCCAUCACAUUACAAAACGAGACCUAAAUCAAAAUCUAACAUAACACCUCUUCUCAUAACGCUACCAAAAUAACACUUCAUCGAACUACGCACUACGCCUUACGGCGAGGCCAAAUAUCUUACUGCUUGCUUGGCUUCCACUAUUUCGGGUUAGGCGUUUGAUAAACAAAAAUGUCUUACACUUACUAUUAUAAGAUAAAACAGCAUUCCAUCCAACAACAGCAAGGCCAAACUGACCCUUGGUAUGAUAGCAGUACAGGAGGUAGCAGGUAAGUUGAAUACUGCAGCAAGAUUUAUCAAACCAUCCUCAUCUUAGAACAUGAAAUCAAAGCUUACAACAGCACUAGCAUGACACAAAACCACAUGACAACAUAGAAGUCUUGAACUGCAAUAGCACAGACAACAUUAUAACUCGGCAAACUCCGAUCCUAAAUCAAACCACCCUUUAUUUAAAGUAUCACGUGUUUCUCUCAACUCGACGCGAAAGGGAAAAUACCAGACUCUUGCAAUACACAAUUUAUCUUGUUCCAGAACCAGCUUCAUGGAUGUCGAGAAGAGACCUUCUAUCCCUGAAGGCCAAUAAUUCCUGGCAAAGAAUUUAUAGAUAAAAAAAAGGGCAUCAUUUGGCAUGAAUUUAGCCAAUACUAGUCGACAAACGACAAGAGCACGAUUGAAAUUGAUGCUAUGUAGAAAUUACUCCUUUUGAGUACUAAAAGAGAGUAAAAUGAAGUGAGGUAAAAUAAUAAUGGUGUGCAGAGAUUGAAAAAACCCACCACAAGCAACUCUCCCGCCAGCAUUUCCCGUGGUCUUGCUAAGCUCAUGUCCACCUGAAAGACCAGACGGUCGAGUUAGUUGAUAAACUAUACAUAUUUAACUACUAGAUUAAUGGAAAGAGUGAGAGAACAUCCAGAGAAACCUCAUCGGAAUGGAAUUGCAGCAACAUGAGGACUAAGCAGUAUUAAGAAGUAUAUUUUAGGCCCGAAAAUUUAGCAGUAUUAAGAUCACUCUUACACUAUCUUAUGAUUCAAUGAAGGUCUUAAAAAACCAGUAAUUUUCCAAAACAGCUCUUGAAAGUGACGAGAAGGUUAGUGGAACAUGAAUAUAAUAAAAGAAAAUAGUUGGAACAGCCAGAUCUUCUUGAAAAGAUGUUCAGGCAAUACAAUAUUGUUGUGCAUAACAGCUUUAGAAAAAUUAAGCAACAAGAAUGUUGGCGGAAUAGGAACGCACUAUGACAGAAUUUGGACGGUAUUUCUAGCCAAUACUAGAUCCAUAACUAACAUUAAUUUUAUGGCAAGGUCACAUACAUAGUGUUUUUAACAGUUAGAUGGAUUUGAUCGAGGCAGACACCAUAACUCUUGAGAAGAGAAUUGAAAAGCUGAAUCCUUCUGUUGGUAAUUUCUGUUGAUUGUAUCAUUUGUAUUUGUGCUUAUGAACUCAAACCAAGAGGGCGAACAAAAACUUGUCUAAAGCGCGGACAACUAUCAGCCUAUCUUUCUUUGUAUGACUUCUAAUUUUCUUAUUAUAAGCCAUAUACUGGAAGAAAAAAAUUUUCUGAGAAGGCUUUUGCACUGAAUUCAAUCAUUCUUAAUCUUAUCCACAUUUUCUAAUAGUGGAUACAGGAGUUACAGGCCCAUCACCUUAUGAAAUCCCAGACCAGUGUUAAAAAACCAGGGUACAUUAGUUCAUAGAGUUCUAAUUUAAAGAUGAAAAAAU
rnacentral:lncRNA from 1 species